rnacentral:lncRNA from 1 species
UUUGGAAACACUACGACUAAAGACACUUUAUUAGGCUCCCCCCACACUUAGUAGAAGCAUUGUCCUCAAUGAUUCAAGAUAGGAUAAAAAAAAGACGAAGGAGAAGGAUGAGAUAGAGAUUGAAGAGAUAAGGUGAAAAAGAGGAAGAGGAAAGCUCACAUUUUUAUUGAGGUCCAUAGGGAGGAACUUGGAGGUUGAAGUGUUGCAUCAUGUUCCGAAGCAUUUGAUUAUUUUCUUCGGAUAUGCGGUUGCCCCUUAGGACAUCAUUUCUUAGCCCGGAUAAUUCAACACCUUGCCUUUGUUGCUCGGUGCUUAUUCUUUGUACCUCGGUUUGCAUCCAUGCCAAUCUUUCAUUGUCGGUGUUAUGGUCAUGGGGCUCCUCUUCAUGGUGCAUGUGUGCACCUUCUUCGUCACCUUGAUUAUGCUCUUCAUGUACCUGUAAUCCAUCACCAACAUACAACAAAUUUUCCUCCACCUCGGGGUUAGUACGAGAUGGGUUAGGAAGUAGAAACAAAAGAGGUAUGCAAAGCUGAAGUGCAUAAGUCAUGGGUGGGUGAAUCUUAAUGAAAUUCAUAGCAACAAGGGUUUCUAUGUUUAGCCUAUUGUUUCCCUCAAUCUUGUUUAUCCCUUGGUCUUCACUCACGCCUAACUUCCUAGCUAUGUAUGUUAUGGUACCACCAACUACGAUUUCUCCCCUACUAUUGGACCUAUUUCUUAUAAGGGAAAGGUAGUCAAGCAAGUAAAAGCAAGUGUUAACGGGUUGGUUGUGUAGCAUAGCCCAUAACAUGAAGAGUUCAUCGUUCCUAGUGUUUCGUAGUUCAGUCCUUCCCCUAAUAGUGCAAGCCAUAACCCUUUGAAGGUACCUAUGUACAGGUUUGUGAAUGUUGCUAGCUUUGUUGGCACGUGUGUUAAACUGGUCAAGACCUGUAAUUCGCUCCCAAAAGGCGGCGGGUUGAUAGUCAACCGGCUUUAAAUCUUGAUUCCAAGAGUCGUGGAUGAACCCCGCAUUUGCGAAGCCCAUCUCAUCACAAAAGUGUUGAAGAGACAUCUCGUAAUCAAUAUUCAUAAGCCGGAAGAAACUCUAUGGUUAGGGUUAUCAAAAUUCAACCUAUCUUUCGUAAAAACAAUAGAACUUAAAAAUUCGUAGGUGAAAUUCUCAUAACCUCUCAUAGGUCUCAACAUAUCAACCCAUCCUAACCUUUCUAGCAGAUUAAACACAUUGUCUUUAAGUCCUAGCUUAUUCAAGUCAUAGUUAUCAGGGCACCUGCAAGGAUGUAAAGGUUUAGAGAUUAGAAUUUUGUACCUAUCUCUUUGCUUGUUGUCCCUGAAAGUGAUGCCAUGAUUCUUGGCUUGUGUUUUCUUCUUUGGAGGAGGUCCCCCUGAUGAGCUUGCAACUUCUUUUCCACUUCUCUUUGAAGCCAUUGCCUUGACCUUGAUUUUGGUGUGAAAGGGUGAUGGUUUGUCCUUGGUUUGUUUUGGUGGAAAAGGUUGGUUUAGUGAUGUGGUGAAGGUUUAAGUGAGCUUUAGGGGUUGGGUUAUGGAGAUUGGGGAAGAAUUUCUGGUUUUUGGGUUAGGUUAGGAGGGGUUACGAAUUUGGGUGAUGUUGAUUUGGAUGGAUGAAAGUUGUUUCUAAAUGGGGGUUUAUGAUUGGAAUGGUGUUUGUGAUUGAUGGGGUGGAGAAAUUUUGUGAAUUGGUGAGGUUUUGGGGUAGAAACGAAGGUUUAGGGUUUUGUGGUUAUGGAGGUUUUAGAGAGAAGUUUGAAGGUGGAGAGAUGAUUGUGGUGGAGAAAGAGGGAAGAAGAAGGCCAAAAGGUGUGGUUAUACCUACCUGAUGAUCGGGCACGGCCGUGCCAACUUUCUGGAACAAAGGCAAGUUUUGGUUUGUCAAGGUCUGGCACGGCCGUGCCAGUGUGAGCACGGGCCGUGCCAAGGUUCUAGAGGACGAGGCUUCAAAAUCUUCUGUUUUCUUGAAUCCGACUCGGACAAUUACCUACAAAAUACUUAAAAUAACAAAAACAAAGCAAAACAAAAGCAGUUAAAUGCGUGGGUUGCCUCCCACGAAGCGCUUCUUUAUAGUCAUUAGCUUGACGUUUUAAGAAAGAGUCCUUUGAAGGGAUCAAAGAGGUCAUAUUGUGUAGAUGACGCUAAUGAGCGUUCUUUCGCAUCAUGACCUUUAAUCACGUUACAAGAAUAGAGAGCGGGACCUUUCAUAUAAUUCUCCAACUCAAACCCUAUCAGCUCAUCACUCACUUGAAAAAUAAUCCGACCAUUCUGAACAUCUACUAUAGCACCCGCAGUGGCGAGAAAGGGUCGUCCUAAAAUUAUAGGGCACUCAUUGUCCUCAUCUAUGUCAAGCACCAUGAAAUCAGUUGGGAUGUCUAUCCCUUCUAUUUUAACGGGGAUGUCCUCGACAUUUCCGACAGGUUGGAUAUCAGAACGAUCGGCUAACUUCAAUGUUGUUUCGGUAAGCUUUAACUCUCCCAACCCCAGCCUUUAAAAGAGGGGUAAGGGCAACAGGCUAACACUAGCUCCUAAAUCACAUAAGGCUUGGUUUAAGGUUUCACUCCCUAUCAUACAAGGGAUGGCAAAGCUUCCUGGAUCUCUAAGCUUUGUAGGAGGCUUCUUGAUGAUUGCACUAUUUUCCCUUGUCAAAGCUUUUGUUUCAUUAUGAUCUAUAGCCUUUUUCUUUGAAAAAAUUUCUUUUAAAAACUUGGCGUAUAGAGGCAUACGAGAUAAAGCUUCAGCAAAGGGAAUCUUAAUGCAAAUCUUUUGAAGUAUGUUUAAGAAUUUAGUGAACUGAGUCACCAAGUUGAGCUUAGUAAGCCUUAAUGGUGUAAGGGCUUUGUCCUUAUCAAGCAAUUUCUCACUUUCUAUCACACCUUUCUUACCUAGACACUUAACACUCUCUCCCUUGACACUUUUGGCUUUAGCAACGGUCUCUUCUAGCUUACUACCCCCAAGAAAAAUAGCGUUGACAUGAGCUUUGGGGUUUGUUUCAGGUUGACCAGGAAAGACUCCUGGUGUUUGAGAAGAGGUUGCCACUUGUUGGGCUACUUGGGAGAUUUGGGUCUUAAGCAUUUUGGUGUGUGUGGCGAUGGAAUCAACCUUGGUAGUGAGUUUGGAGAGAGAGCCGUUCAGAAAUCCUGUUUGGUUUUUCAGUUCUUGAAGAUUUUUAUUUUGAUUAGCUAUGCAAUUUUCCAACAGAAUCUCCAAACUUGAUUUCUUAGCCACUCUCUGGUUGUUUGUAUAGCCAGGUGGUGCUACUUGUCCAUAGGAACCUUGAGGAUUUUUGUAAAAUUUUUGAUUUGGCCUCGUUCCUUGGUUAAAUUGAGCGUAAUUCAGUUGCUCAAUAUUGGCAGCACUACCUAACUGACAAUCAACACCGAUAUGACCGGAUAUACCACAGAUUUCACAAGGAGGGGAUGCAGAAGAAGGUGUGACAGCAUUAACAUUAAGUUUUUCAAAUUUUUGGGUUAAUGCCUCAACCUUAGCAGCAAGGUGGUUAUAUUCAGAGACUUCGUAUAUACCUGCCUCUUUCUUAGAGGGAGUAGGAGCGGUGACGGCUCUCUCGUUGGUCCAUUGGUAAUGAUUCUGAGCCAUGUCUUCAAUUAAGGAAUAGGCCUCCGUAUGAUUUUUGUUCAUUAGAGCUCCACAUGCAGCUGCAUCAACAGACAUCUUAGUGGUAUAUGACAAGCCAUUAUAAAACGUGUGGACUAUAAGCCAUUUUUCUAAGCCAUGGUGGGGACAAAGUCUAAGCAUUUCCUUGAAACGCUCCCACGCUUCAUAGAGAUACUCCCCAUCUUUUUGAUUGAACCGCGUAAUUUGAUCUCUAAGUUUAGCGGUUUUAGAUGGGGGGAAAAAUCGGGCAAGGAAUGCUCGCCUCAUAUCGUCCCAUGAAGUGAUGGAACCGACUUCUAGGGAAUGGAACCAAGCUCUAGCUCUAUCCCUUAAGGAAAAGGGAAAGAGAUGAAGUCUUACAGCUUCUUGGUUCUCUUUUAUGGCGCCACUGAGUCUUAAGGAAGGAAGAAAUAUGGAGAUUUGAAUCCUUAGUGGGUGAUCCAGAAAACUGAUUUUGCUGCACCAAAUUGAGUAGUGCAAGCUUGAUCUCGAAGUUAUUACCCUCAACCAUUGGGUACACGAUAAUAGCUUGUGGCUCUUCCGUUGAAGGAGUAGCAUACUCUUUGAGAGUGCGUUCAGCCAUAGCAGUAUUAUUUUGUGCAUCUCUCUUUUUCUUAUGGAAAUAUCUUUCGAUCUCAUGAAUAAAUUCUCCGAGACUUUUACUUCUUCGCAUAAGAAACCGAGAACCCAAGAAGUUAGUGGUAAUACAAAGAAAGAAGUAGAAGAAAAGAGGAAGAGAAGAGAGUUCUAAUCACAAAGAAAGAGUUAAUCAAAUUAGUUUUACUCCCCGGCAGUGGCGCCAAAAACUUGAUGAGAUAAAACCGCAAGUGCACGGUCUUACCGAAGUAGUAUAAAAGAGUGUCGUUCCGACAGGGAGUAGUUUAAUUUAAUUAACCUUUGGGAAUGAUUAGAAUAGAGAAGAAUUGUAAGUUGGGGAUUUUCAAGCGUUUGAAAGAUAAAAAUAAUAAAAGGAGCCUUGGGAUCGUUGGUUUCAUCUAAAUAACAAGUCCUUCACAAACCAAACUAAAAGCUUAUAAUGUUAUGUUAGACCUAAUUUCUCAAGACAGUUUCUCUUAUGUUCCUCUAGCAACCAAGCCUAUUUCACUGACUUGAUUACUAUUAGAUUUUGGUUCCUCUAACAACCAAGCCUAUUUCGCUGACUUGAUUGUUAUUAGUUCCCUUGAAGAUCGAAACUAUAUGUCUCAAAGAUUGCAAAGCCUAUUUCGCUGACUUUGCAAUCCUUGUCUAAAUUUACUUGUUCGAAUAUCAAAGCUCCACUUUCGUUUUAUGAAUUGAUAUUUGGAAUAAUGGAUAAACAAUUAUCAAACCCUCCACUUUCGUUUCCACAGUUUGAUAAUGGUUGAUCCAUGUUUAAGCGGUGAAUUUAGAUAAGAAAUUAGGGUUACAUAAGAUUAAGGCUUAGAGCUUGGCUUGAUUAGCAUUAUGUCAUUUAAACUUAUCCAACAAUCCCAAGACAAGGAGAAGUCUACUCACUCAUGUUCAUCGUAGACAUGGGGGAGAAGAGAGAAAGCAUAAAGGUAAAUGACAAGAAAAUAAAGGAAAAGAAAAGAACUUUAAUUAGAAAAGCAAUUGUCACUUAUUGUAUUCCAAGUAAAGAUGAAUAUUUGUGAUGAAUGGCUACUCUAUUUAUAGAAAUCAUUCGACUUAAAAUCUAAGCUAUUACAUUCGGGCUAAAAAUAGAGUAGCUUAAAAUCUAGGCAAAAGCAGCAAAAGGCACUCUGGAUGGUGGCACAGCCGUGCCAAGGCUAGCAUGGGCCGUGCCAAGCUUUUGACUGUGAGGAGACAUAUUUUUGUCUCUCAAUCUUCAUAUUUUUGCAUUCAAUCGGCUCCAAGCCCCUUUCUUUUGCUCCAAGACUUGAUCCAUCCAAUAUUCAUUCCUGAAAUAAAAUAAAAUGCAAUUUGUAGUAAACUAUCCUAAAAAGGAAAUAAUGCUAAUAUAAAAUAAAAUAAAAUUUAAUUAAAACUAAACUAAAAAGCAUAUAAAAAUAGUCAAUAAAUGACUCAUCACUCUUGAAUCAUCUUAACUUUCUCAGUAGUCUGCUGAACAAUCUCUGGUCCUAGGACCACUCUUUCACCUCAUUCAAACCAGCACAACGGAGUUCUGCAUCUCCGACCAUACAAAGCCUCAAAAGGUGCCAUUCGAAUACUAGAAUGAUAACUAAUAUUGUAUGUGAACUCGAUCAACGGAAGAUGACUAUCCCAAGUUCAUCCUUGCUCAAGAACACAAACUCUCAACAAAUCCUCUAGCGAUUGAAUUGUCCUCUCCAACUGACCAUCUGUCUGCGGAUGAUAAGCCGAACUCAAUCUCAAUUUCGAACCUAAAGCCUCUUGCAAACUCUUCCAAAAUCUAGAAGUAAAUGUUGGAUCUCUAUCUGAUACGAUGCUCGAAGGAACACCAUGUAACCUCACAAUCUCCUUGAUAUAAAUCUCUGCCAGCUGGGCAACAGGAAAACUAAUAUUAAUCGGUAGAAAAUGAGCCGACUUCGUCAAUCUAUCAACGAUUACCCAAAUUGCAUCGUUCCCUCUAGGAGUAUUUGGCAAACUCGUCACAAAAUCCAUGGAUAUACUAUCCCAUUUCCAUUCCGGCACAUCUAAAGAUACCAUCAUACCAGCAGAUUUCUGAUGCUCAAUCUUCGACUUCUGACAAACUAAACAGGAAUACACAAACUGUGCCACAUCACGUUUCAAUCCAGACCACCAGAAAAUCUUCUUUAAAUCGUGAUACAUCUUCGUAGCUCCUAGAUGAAUACUCAAGCUACUUCUAUGACUCUCUUCAAGAAUCAUUUUCUUCAUAUUUGCAUCGUCAGGAAUGCAAAUCCGACCUCGGAAUCUCAACACACCGUGAUCAUCGACUUUAAAGUCAUCGUCUUCCGUCUGAUUACUAGCAACCAACAAGUCUACAAACUUGACAUCAACUUUCUGUGCCUCUUUAAUACUUUUCAGAAAUUCACUAUCAAUCUUCAGGAUUCCCAGUUUCACACUCUGAGGUGACCAUUCACAAACCAAACUCAAAUCACUGAACUGUUCAAGUAACUCAAACUCUCUAACCAUCAAAGCGGACAUAUGCAAUGUCUUCCUGCUCAAGGCAUCCGCAACAACAUUGGCUUUACCUGGAUGAUAAUUCAAACCAAAGUCAUAAUCUUUCAACAAUUCUAGCCAUCUACGCUGCCUCAUAUUCAAUUCCUUCUGAUCGAACAAAUACUUCCAACUCUUGUGAUCGCUAAACACCUCAAACCUCGAACCAUACAAGUAAUGUCUCCAUAUCUUCAAUACAAAGACCACAGCCGCCAACUCUAAAUCAUGCGUCGGGUAAUUCUUCUCAUGAAUUCUCAACUGUCUUGAAGCAUAAGCUACCACUUUACCAUCUUGCAUAAGUACGUACACCUCCUAAACCCAACUUGGACGCAUCACAAUACACCACAAAAAGCUCAUCCGAUUUCUUCAAUUCACUGAAAUUGUUCUCACAAUGAAUAUCCCACACAAAACCUUUACCUUUACAAGUCCAUUGUGUUAGCGGAAAUGCUAACUUGGAAAAUCCUUCAAUGAAUCUUCUGUAGUAACCAGCUAAACCCAAGAAGCUUCUAAUCUCUGUAACUGACUUAGGAGUCUCCCAUUGCGAUACCGCUUCAACUUUAGACGGAUCCACUGCAAUACCAUCACCAGAAAUAACAUGGCCAAGAAAACUUAUUUCUUUCAACCAGAAUUCUCACUUAGAUAAUUUAGCAUAAAGUUUCUUCUCUUUCAACGCUUGCAAGACAAUCUUCAGAUGCUCAGCAUGUUCUUCUUCAGUCUUGGAGUACAUCAAAAUAUCGUCGAUAAACACAACCACGAACCGAUCCAAAAAUGCAUGGAAGAUGCGAUUCAUAUACUCCAUAAACACUCCAGGUGAAUUGGUCACACCGAAAGGCAUAACUUUAUAUUCAUAGUGACCAUAACACGUUCUGAAAGCUGUCUUCUGCAUAUCUUCAUCUUUUACUUUAAUCUGGUGAUAACCUGAUCUCAAAUCAAUCUUGCUGAAAACUUUCGCACCCACUAACUGAUCCAUCAAAUCAUCAAUUCUCGGAAGUGGAUACCUAUUCUUGAUAGUUACCUUGUUCAACUGACGAUAGUCAAUACACAAUCUCAUGCUACCAUCUUUCUUCUUCACUAGCAAAACUGGCGCUCCCCAAGUUGAAACACUUGGUCUAACAAAUUUCUUCUCAAGCAAAUCUUCUAACUGUUUCUUCAACUCAGCUAACUCGGAAGCAGACAUACGAUAAGGUGCCAUCGACACCGGCUUCGUUCCAGGAACAAGAUCAAUAGAAAACUCGACUUCUCUCUUAGGAGGCACAUCAGGAAUUUCAUCUAAAAAAACUUCAGGAAAAUCGCAUACCACUUGUAGCUUGUCAAUCACUACUUGAUUCUCAAUAGAUAAAGAAGCCAACAACGAAAACAUCAAAAUACCAUCGCGUUCCAUUUGCUUCAGCUGCUUAGUAGUUAAGAACUCUGCACCACUUUCCUCUUCAGCGGAAGAGAAAUACACUAACUUGCUAAAACAAUUGAUAUGAACAUGGUUGUAUUCUAACCAAUUCAUACCUAGAAUCACAUCCAUACCGUUCAAAGGUAGACAAACUAAAUCCAUUUCAAAAUCACGACCAAACAUAGACAAAGGACAUCGCAAACAUACGAGAGAAGUAGUCACCGAACCCUUAGCUGGAGUUUCGACAACCAUCUCUCCAAUCAUAUCAGAAAAAUCAAGACCCAAAGCAGAAACACAAUCAAAAGAAAUAAAGCAAUGCGUAGCACCAGUAUCAAUAAUAGCAACUAAAGGAGUAUUAUUAAUAUAGCAAGUACCUCUGAUCAAACGAUCCUCAUUCUCUGUCUGAGUAGCAGCCAGAGCAAAAACUCGACCUGUAGUAGGCGCCCUCUUAGGCUGCUUGCAUUGGGAACCAAUAUGACCCUCUUCAUUACAGUUGAAGCACACAAUAUCAUUACGCUUGCAAUCAGCUACAAUAUGACCCUUCUUGCCACACCGAACACAUUUCUUGAUCUCUUCUGGACAAACAUUACUCUUGUGGCCUUUCUCACCACAAUUGAAACAAGUAAUCUCAGUUGGAGCAUCCUUCUUCUUAGGCCGCCUAUCAUCGACCAUUCUCUGUUUGCCCUUGUCAGUAGGGGCACUAUAAGGCUUAGGGUGACUCUGCUGGCCCUUGGUCUUCCGCUCAUUCACAACCUUGUAAUGAGCCUUGGUAUCCUCCUCAUAAAUCCUGCAUCUAUUAACCAAAUCAGGGAAAACUCGGAUCUGUUGGUAUCCGAUCGCCCUCUUAAUGUCGGGCCUCAAACCGUUCUCGAACUUGAUGCAUUUCGAGAACUCAGCAGUAUAGUGCGGAUAGAACUUUGCCAACUCCACAAACUUGGCAGCAUACUCUGUCACAAACAUGUUUCCUUGCUUCAACUCAAGGAACUCGAUCUCUUUCUUCCCGCGAACGUCUUCCGGAAAGUAUCUUCUCAGGAACUCUCUCCUGAACACAGCCCAAGUCACAGCAGCUCCAUCUUGCUCAAGGUUAGGUAGCAGACUAACCCAGCAAUCAUCAGCUUCCUCAGCUAGCUGAUGCGUACCGAAUCGUACUUUCUGGACCUCAGUGCACUGCAUCACUCUGAAAAUCCUCUCCAUCUCUUUAAGCCACGUCUGGGCUCCAUCUGGGUCAUAUCUUCCUUUGAAAGUUGGAGGAUGAUUCCUCAUGAAGGUCUCUAACAUUCUAGUCUCAACGUUCACACCAACAUUUGCGUUAGGUUGUUGUCCCACAGCCUGGGCAACAGCUUGUAGAGCUGCAGCUAACGCAUCAUCGUUCCUUCCAGCCAUUUCUGAUAUUCUACAACAAGUAGAAACAACAACAUAAGAUAGUAAUACAAAUAUUACUAAGACUCGACAAGACUCUUCUAAUUGACCGGACGGACCGACCUGCUCUGAUACCAAUUGUAACACCUCGUUUUCCCAAUAUGAAAAUUUCUUAAACAUUUAUCAGAGUAAACAGCAUAAACGGGAUAUCACAUUCAACAUAAUCCAAAAUCAGUUAAAUAACAAUUUAACUUUCAACAAAUUACUUAAACAAUGUAGCGGAAAUUAUUUCAUAAACCAUAAAUCAUUUUGGCACGUAGGCCCCAUGAAAAUAUUUCAACAGUUAAUCCACAUUAUAAAAAUGACAUAAAUGUUCAUGUAAGAGAAUGAAGCAUGCAUAACAAACACCCCAUCCCGUUACGUAUCAGAGCGACCUAGACGACUCAGUGAGGCAAGGCCACUCACGACAGUAAACUGCACACUUAAGCAUGAUCACCUGCAAGUUACUCAUACGAAGAGCAACGUUUUCAAGCAGAAGGGGGUGAGAUUUCAUAACACAAUAACAUUAAUCAAUAUAAUUCGAAAUCAUAAUUAACAUCAUAAUCAAUCUUAAUCGUCAUUGCAUCUUUGAUAAACAAUUAUCAAGUAAUCACAGCUUCAAUCAUCAUCAAUAACAUAAACAUCUUUAAACUCGACAAAUGCGACAAUGCAACUUAGACACUUAUAUGCAUGUGGUACCAAUCGUCAUCAUAAGUAUUAAUAUACUUUAAUCGUGUGGAGGACAAAGCUCCUAUCGUGUGGAGGACAAAGCUCCGAUCGUGGUGACGACAAAGCUCAAUGUAUGCUAAUGCAUGGACUCUAUCAACAAAACAUCUUAAUCAACUUAUCACUUAUACAUCCAAUAAUUUGGAGUUCAUCGUCAACUUAAUUCAGACUCAUGCAACUUAGUUUGAUAACAAUUGCAGCACAAUCAAAUCACAUCAAGCUUAAUAACAAUUCAUUUUCAACAAUUUCUUGAUCAUUCCAUAAUAAUUCAAGUAAAUGCAAUCAAUCCAUAAUUCACUUUAUAAUCACUUAACAUCUCAUAAAAGCUUCACAGUUCUCAGUCAAUAUCUUUAAUAGGUCUCAUUAGUAUCUAAAGUUCAUUUCCUAACCAAACCAAACAACUCAGGUCUGGAAGUGCUCGCGAGGCGAGAGCAUCUGCUCGCCAUGACAAGUACAAGCCAGAUUCCCAACUAAGGUUGUUCCAGGUUCAUUCUUGUUCUAAAUCAUUCUCUAAUCAAUAGUAGGCACCUAAAGGUACUCAAAGGCAUCUAAGGUUCAACUCAAAGGUCAAAAACUCAGAAUUCGACAUGCUCUCUGGUCAUGCUCGCUAUGGCGAGUACGGUUGCUCGCCGUGGCGAGCUACAACAAGUAACUCGCGAGGCGAAGGGUUAUGGCUCGAGUGGCGAGCGAUGAACAUUCAUCCCUCGCGAGGCGAGGAUCAUGGCUCGCUAUGGCGAACGAUGAACAUAGGCUCGGGUAGAAUGCAAUUUUUACUAAAAUUUCAUCAACUAACAUGGUUCUAAGCCUAAUUUCAAUUCCAGAAUUCAUCCUAAACAUAUUCUAAGGUUAUAGGACGGUUUCUACAUCAAUCUAAUCAAGUUUUACCGUUUGAUCAUCAAUUUUAGGGAUUUGACCUAAUUUCAAAACUUUUCUAAAUCAAUCCUAACUUUGUCAAUUAAUCAUCAGAAUCAUGACAAUCAAUAUUACUGAAUUAUUAGUCUCACCCUUACCUUAUAUGAAGAAAUCGCAGCCCUCCUAGUAGAUUCUCUCUUCUCUUGGCUUUUUCUCCCUUUUUCUCCAAAACAGUCGUACGUGCAAUUGUUGUUCUUAAACUAGGUCUUUUUCUUUUAUAUCUCUUUCCUAUUUCUUAUCCUAUCUCACUUUCUCCCCCAAAACUCUCUAAAAUCUCAAAACAGCCCUCAACUAAAUAUGUUAUUUUAUUUUCAAAUCUUAUUUUAUUUAACAAUAAAAUAAGUCUCAUAAUCUCAUCAAAUCAUCAAAACACAUCAAAAUCACUCAAAUCAUCUAAAUCAUCUUAAAUCAACAAAACUCACACAUAUAUUAUAUAAAUAUAAUAUAAUUUCCUAAACUCGAUUAAAUAAUUAAAUAAACGAAAGUGGGCGUUACAACUCUCCCCAACUUAAAAGAUUUUCGUCCUCGAAAAUUUACCUCAAGCAAACAAAUCUGGAUAAGACUCAAGCAUCUUACUCUCAAGCUCCCACGUCAAGCUUUCACCAGUCGCUCCAGCCCAAACGACUCUAACAAGGGGUAUCUCCUUGCCUCUCAACGUCUUCACUUUACGAUCAUCAAUCCUCACCGGUAAAGUCUCUACCGUAAGGUUGUCUCUAACUUGCACAUCAUCACUUUGAUCACAUGAGAUGGAUCCGGAACAUACUUCCGAAGUUGCGACACAUGGAAAACAUCGUGCAAAUUCGAAAGAUGCGGUGGUAAUCCUACUCGAUACGCCACCGUUCCAACUCUUUCCGAUAUCUGAUACGAACCAAUAAACCUCGGAGUCAAUUUCUUUGACUUCAAAGCACGUCCAACACCAGUCACUGGAGUGACUCUCAAAAACACGUGGUCUCCUUCCUAAAACUCAAGAUCCUUCCUGCGUUUAUCAUGAUAACUCUUUUGUCGACUAUGCGACACUUUCAUUUUCUCUUGAAUCAUCUUAACUUUCUCAGUAGUCUGCUGAACAAUCUCUGGUCCUAGGACCACUCUUUCACCUGAUUCAAACCAGCACAACGGAGUUCUGCAUCUCUGACCAUACAAAGCCUCAAAAGGUGCCAUUCCAAUACUAGAAUGAUAACCAUUAUUGUAUGUGAACUCGAUCAACGGAAGAUGACUAUCCCAAGUUCCUCCUUGCUCAAGAACACAAACUCUCAACAAAUCCUCUAGCGAUUGAAUUGUCCUCUCCGACUGACCAUCUGUCUGCGGAUGAUAAGCCGAACUCAAUCUCAAUUUCGAACCUAAAGCCUCUUGCAAACUCUUCCAAAAUCUAGAAGUAAAUCUUGGAUCUCUAUCUGAUAUGAUGCUCGAAGGAACACCAUGUAACCUCACAAUCUCCUUGAUAUAAAUCUCUGCCAACUGGGUGUAACACCCCGUUUUCCCAAUAUACAAAUUUCAUAAACAAUUAUCAGAGUAAAAACCAUAAACGGGAUAUCACAUAGAAACGUAAUCCAUAAACAGUUAAAUAAUAAUUUAACCUUCACAAUAUCUUUAACAUAGCAGCGGAAUAUUUAAUUCAAAAAUCAUAAAUCAGCUUGGCACGUAGGCCCCAUCAAAAAUAGUUCAUAAUCCAUAACAUAAUAAAAAUAACAUAUUAUCCACGUAAGAGAAUGAAGCAUGUUAUAGCAUAUAACCCCAUCCCGUUACGUAUCAGAGCGACCUAGACGACACAGUGAAGGCAAGGCCACUCACGACGGCAACUGCACACUAAGCACGAUCACCUGCAAGUUACCCAUACGAAGGGCAACAUUUUCAAGCAGAAGGGGUGAGAUUUCAUAAUACAAUAACAUUAAUCAAUGUAAUUGAGAAUCAUAAAUUAACAACAUAAUCAUUCCAUUAUUAACUUUGCAUAAUUGCUAAACAGUUAUCACGUAAUCGUUUGUUCAAUAAUUAGGAAUAUCAUAACAUAUCAAAUAACACUUAUCACGUAAUCACAUAUUCAAUCAUCAUCAACAAGGCAUCUUAAUCAUGACAAUGUGACAAUGCUCUUAGACUCCUUAUAUGCAUGUGGUACCAAUCGUCAUCAUAAGUAUUAAUAUACUUUAAUCGUGCGGAGGACAAAGCUCCUAUAAAACGUGCGGAGGACAAAGCUCCUAAUAUUCGUGGUGAGGACUAAGCUCAAUGAUAUGCUAUGCAUGGACACUUAUGAACAGAACACGUAAUCAUCGUAAUCAACAUGCAUCCAAUAAUUUGGAGCUAAACAUUAUCAUAUACAUAUGCACUUAGUUAAAUAACAGAAGCAGCAUAAACAAGUCACACAGCAAGAUGAUAUCAUUAUAUCAAUAGCACAUAAAUUGCAUUAUUAUCAAACCUUCAUAUCUUGCAUGAAUAUACAAUACAUUAGUUCAUACUCAAUUAAUAUCAAUAUAGUCUUAAACAACUCUACAGGCUGCAGUAAACAUCAUCACUAGGCCUCAAUGCCAAUUAGGGGUUCACUCUUGAUCAACACAUGCGACACAGAUCGCACAAACACUCAAGCAACUACCUUCUGGUUAUACUCGCGAGGCGAGAGUACUUACUCGCCAUGGCGAGUAACACUAAUCUCCCAAACUGAUGUUGUUCUGGGUUCAAUCCUGUCCUAAAAUCAUCCCUAAUCAAUACUAGGUAUGUUCAGGUACUCAAAGGCACUCAAGGUCCAACUAAAAAGGUCGAAACACGAAAUAUGACAUGCACUCUGCCUAAGCUCGCGAGGCGAGGAAAGGUUUCUCGCCAUGGCGAGUUGCACCAGACAACUCGCGAGGCGAAGGGGGAAGGCUCGCAUGGCGAGCGAUGAAUCUUCAUCACUCGCGAGGCGAAGAUCGUAGCUCGCCGUGGCGAGCGAUGAAUGUCGCUACGGCCAGGCUUCCUAAAAACACAAAAAUCCGACGUUUCACAUGGUUCUAAGCUUGGUUUUGAUUCCAGAAUUCAUCCUAAACAUAUUCUAAGGUUACAGGACAAUUCUUACAUUAAUCUAAACAAGUUUUACCGUUUAUUCUCAAUUCUUAGGGUUUUGACCUAAUUCCAAAACUUCUCUAAAUCAAUCCUAACUAUGUCAACUAAUCAUCAGAAUUACAGAGGUUAAUGCUACUGAGUUAUUAGUCCCACCCUUACCUGGUUAUGAAGAAAAAUCGCAGCCCUCUUGGUCUCUUGCUCCUCUCAAAGCUUUUUCUCCCUUUUCCAAAAGUUUUCACGUACAAUCCCCUUUUUCUAACAAUUAGGUCUUCUCUAUUUAUAUCUCUUCCUAAUUACUGAUCUUAUCUCAAUUUCUCCCCCAAAACUAUCUAAAAUAUCAAAACAACCCUCAACUAAAUAUUUUUCAAAUCUUUAUUUUAUUUAACAAUAAAAUAAAUCUCAUAUCAUAAUCAAAUCCUUCAAUACUCAUAACUUAACACGUCAUCGAUCAUAUCAUCAAAACAUAUCAAAAUCAUGCAUAUAUUAUAUAAUUAUAAUAUAAUUGCCUAAACUCGAUUAAAUAACUAUUAAACGAAAGUGGGCGUUACACUGGGCAACACGAAAACUAAUAUUAAUCGGUAGAAAAUGAGCCAACUUCGUCGAUCUAUCAACGAUUACCCAAAAAUGAGCACUGCAUGACCCUGAAAAUCCUCUCCACUUCCUUCAACCACGAUUGGGCACCAUCUGGAUCAUACAUUCCCUUGAAUGCUGGGGGAUGAUUCCUCAAAAAGGUCUCCAGCAUCCUCACUUCUCCAUUACCAGCUUGCGGUUGCUGUCCUACAGCUUGAGCAAUAGCCUCAAGUGCAGCAGCGAUAGCAGCAUCGGUUCUACCAGCCAUCUUAAGAUUCUACAUAAGAAACAACAAUUCAGAACAACAACAUCAACAACAACAACAUUAGAGUUGACACUCUAUCCUAAGUGGCUCAGUACGACACUACUACUUGGGCGGACGGACCAACCUGCUCUGAUACCAAUUGUAACACCCCAUUUCCCAAAAUCAAUUAAAUAAUAAUAAUAAUUCAAUAUUAGAGUAAACCCAACGGGCAUGUCACAUCACAUUCACAAUAAUUAUUAAAUUUGCAGCGGAAUAUUCUCAUCAACCACAAUUCAUACUGUUUUAAAACUCCAUAAUAAAUUCUUGGCAUGAAAGCCUUAACAUCAACAAAUCCAACAUCAAUAGGGCUACAACAGCAAUAAUCAAAAUUUGAUACAUAGGAAAGAAAUUAAACAAUAAAAUCCCAUCCCACGUAUCAGAGCCCUAGACACUUUGAGCCACCACCAACUACUCAGGAUCACCUGCAAGUUACCCAUAGGAAGGGCAACAUUUUCAAGCAGAAGGGGUGAGAUUCACAAAAAUAAAAUAGAUAAGGAAUGCAUCAAUUGAAUCUAACACCCUAUCAUAUAAUUCAUCAACAAUAUAUAAAUAUCAUCAUUUUCAAAUAUUAUCAACAAUGGUAGUUAAUAACCCACUCAACGACUCAUGCAACUCAUCACCAUUCCACUAAGACUCCUCUAACAACACCCAUGCAUGUGGUACCAUAAUCAGGACCGUAGCCCUCACCGCUGUAGAAUGGUUAAAGCAUUCAUUUUCAGGACCUAAGUCCUCACCACUAACACCACUUUAAGCAACUAGUGCUCCACCACUUUGAACGACAAGGCGUUCCAAAGCCGAAGCUCUCCCACUGUUAUGCUUAUGCAAAUGACCCACUUGAGUAUAUCUACAUACAACCAACCUAUGCAUAAAUAUGUAUAGGACACACCACUCCAAUUUACCAUAUUCAGGUAUAACUUAAUUAAUUAAAACAUACAUCCAGCCAGCAUACAUUGAUUGCAACCAAUUUAGAACAUCCAGAAAAAUACACCAACAUAAAAGCCAUGCUUAAUCAACAAGAUAAAUCAACCAUCCACAACAGAAAUCAAUCCAACAAAAUACUGGGCAGCUCGCCUCGUGAGCACAUCUGCUCGCUAUGGCGAGCUCCGGAAACAAGACACUCGCCAUGGCGAGUUCAAGGCGAACUCGAGGCGAACAAAAAUAUGGUGCUCUCGGGAGUUUUGACAUUUUUCUCACUAAAUCAUCAAUUCUAAGUUCCCUAUUCAUCUUUUUGAUCUAAAAAUUGCACCAGUCCUCUCUAAAAUCUUUUAGGUACAUAAAACUACCCAAAAUGCGGCUUAUAACAACACUUCAGAAAUCCAGUUUUUCUCAAAGGUACUCGCCAUGGCGAGUUGUCUCACUCGCAAGGCGAGCCAUGAAGUUGCUCACUCGCUUUGGCGAGCAAAGGCUACUCGCUAGGCGAGCGAUGAACUUCUGUACGGGCAGAAUGCAGGUUUUUCCCAAUGAACUUCGGAGUCAACUUCCUUGAUUUCAAAGCACGUCCUACACCCGUCAUCGGAGUAACUUUCAAAAAUACAUGAUCACCCUCUUGAAACUCAAGGGCCUUCCUCCGCUUAUCAUGGUAACUUUUCUGUCGACUCUGCGACGCUUUCAUCUUUUCCCUUAUCAUCUUGACCUUCUCUGUCGUCUGUUGAACCAAAUCUGGUCCCAACACAACACUCUCUCCUGACUCAAACCAGCAUAACGGAGUCCUGCACCUCCGACCAUACAAAGCUUCGAACGGUGCCAUACCUAUACUCGAAUGGUAACUGUUGUUGUAGGUGAACUCUAUAAAUGGUAGGUGACUAUCCCAAGCUCCACCUUGUUCAAGCACACACACUCUCAACAGAUCCUCCAACGAUUGGAUCGUCCUCUCCGACUGACCAUCUGUCUGAGGAUGAUAAGCCGAACUCAAUCUCAACUUGGAACCCAAAGCGUCCUGCAAACUCUUCCAGAACCUAGAGGUGAACCUCGGAUCCCUAUCCGACACAAUACUCGAAGGAACUCCAUUUAGCUUCACAACAUUAUGAAUAUAAAUCUCAGCCAACUGAGCUACCGGAUAACUGAUGUUGAUAGGAAUAAAAUGUGCCGACUUUGUCAACCUAUCACCCACAACCCAAAUAGAAUCAUGUCUUCUCGGAGUGUUUAGUAAACUUGUCACAAAAUCCAUAGAAAUGCUAUCCCAUUUCCACUCCGGUACAUCCAACGGCGUCAACAACCCUGCAGGCUUCUGAUGCUCAAUGUUAGACUUCUAGCAAGUCAAACAUGCAUACAUAAAAUGAGCGACAUCACGCUUCAAACCGGACCACCAAAACAGCUUUUUCAAAUCAUGGUACAUCUUCGUAGCUCCCGGAUGAAUACUCAACCUACUCUUGUGACUUUCCUCUAAAAUUAACUUUUUCAAUUCUUCAUUGUCAGGAAUACAAAUUCUACCUCUGAAUCUCAAUACUCCCUGAUCAUCAACCUUGAAGUCACUAUCCUCCGUGCCAUUACUAGCAAUCAUUAAAUCAACCAGCUUGACAUCCACUUGCUGUGCUUCUCGGAUACUACCCAAGAAAUCACUAUUAAUCUUCAGCAUGCCCAACUAUAUGCUUUGAGGCGACAACUCACAUACCAGACUCAUGUCUCUAAACUGUUCCAGCAAAUCAAAUUCUUUUACCAUCAUAGCAGACAUAUGCAGUGUCUUCCUGCUCAAUGCAUCAGCAACUACGUUAGCUUUACCAGGAUGGUAAUUCAAACCAAAAUCAUAAUCUUUUAACAACUCAAGCCAUCUCCUCUGUCUCAUGUUCAAUUCCUUCUGGUCAAAUAAAUACUUCAGACUCCUGUGAUCGCUGAAUACUUCAAAUCUGAAACCAUACAAAUAAUGCCUCCAAAUUUUUAAAACAAACACCACUGCAGCCAACUCCAAAUCAUGUGUAGGAUAAUUCUUUUCAUGAAUCCUCAACUGCCUAGAAGCAUAAGCUACCACUUUGCCCUCUUGCAUCAAAACACCACCCAAGCCCAACUUAGACGCAUCAUAAUAAAUAACGAAUGGCUCUUCCGGUUUAGGCAAAAUCAAAAUAGGAGCAGUUGUCAAUCUUCUCUUCAAUUCACUGAAGCUACUCUCGCACUGAGCAUCCCAAACAAAUGACUUACCCUUACAGGUCAACUGAGUCAAUGGAAGUGCCAACUUCGAAAAUCCCUCAAUAAACCUGCGGUAAUAACCAUCCAAACCCAAGAAGCUUCUGAUCUCUGUCACCGGCUUCGGAGUCUCCCAUUGUGAUACUGCAUCAACUUUUGAAGGGUCAACAACAAUACCACUACCAGAAAUAAUGUGGCCAAGAAAACUCACUUCACUUAACCAGAAUUCACAUUUCAACAACUUAGCAUACAACUUUUUCUCUUUCAGUACUUGCAAUACAAUCCUCAGAUGUUCUGCAUGCUCCUCUUCAGUCUUAGAAUAAAUUAGGAUAUCAUCAAUGAAUACACCCACAAACUUAUCCAGAAAGGCAUGAAAAAUUCGGUUCAUAUACUCCAUGAACACACCAGGCGCAUUAGUAACACCGAAAGGCAUCACCUGGUAUUCGUAAUGACCAUAACGUGUCCUAAAGGCCGUCUUCUGCAUAUCUUCAUCCUUCACCUUAAUUUGAUGGUAACCAGACCUCAAGUCAAUCUUAUUGAAAAUCUUUGCACCAACCAGCUGAUCCAUCAAGUCAUCAAUUCUCGGAAGCGGAUACCUGUUCUUUAUUGUAACUUUGUUCAACUGACGAUAGUCAAUGCACAACCUCAUGCUACCGUCCUUCUUCUUUACCAACAACACAGGCGCUCCCACGGUGAAACAUUGGGUCUAACAAACUUCUUAUCAAGCUAGUCCUCCAACUGUUUCUUCAAUUCAGCUAACUCAGAAGAUGACAUACGAUAAGGUGCCAUCGACAUCGGCUUCGUUCCUGGGACAAGGUCAAUUGAAAAUUCAACCUCCCUCUCUGGUGGCACAUCAGGAAUCUCAUCAGGAAACACUUCUGGAAAUUCAUUCACAACCGGGUAACCUAUCAAUCAUAGCUUGAUUUUCUACAGAUAAAUAAGUCAUCAGAGAAUACAUCAAAAUCCCGUCCCGUUCUAGCUGUUUCAUCUGUUUUGUAGACAAAAGCUCAAUUUCACCUUCUUCUUCAGCAGAAGAAAAAUGCAUCGUCUUACUAAAGCAAUUGAUAUGAACCCGGUUAUACUCUAACCAAUUCAUUCCAAAAAUAACAUCCAUACCCGUCAACGGUAAACAAACUAAAUCAACCACAAAGUCUCUACCAAACAUAGAUGUAGGACACCUCAGACAAACAAGAGAAGUAGUUACUGAACCCUUAGCUGGAGUUUCAACAACCAUUUCUCCUUUCAUAUCAGAUACAAUCAGACCCAACUUAUAUGCACUUUCUAAAGCAAUGAAACAAUGAGUAGCACCAGUGUCUAUAAUAGCAAUUAAAGGAGUACUAUUAAAGAAACAAGUACCUCUGAUAAGACGGUCCUCAUUAGUAGUCUGCGUACCAGUCAAAGCAAACACUUUUCCACCAGUUCUAUCCUUCUUCGGCUGUGUGCACUGUGUACUGAUAUGGCCCUCUUCGUUGCAGUUAUAACAUACAACAUCACCACGCUUGCAAUCCGCUAAAAGGUGACCCUUCUGACCACAUCUGAAGCACUUCUUCUCAUCCUUGGUACAAACAUUACUCUUGUGGCCUUUCUCGCCACACUUAAAACAAACUAUCUCAGCAGAAGCAUCUCUCCUAUUCGGCCUCCUCUCAUCAUUAAGUCUCUGCUUACCCUUAUCAGCAGGGGCACUGUACGGCUUAGGACGACUCUGCCGUCCCUUACCUCUUCGCUCACUCAUCACCUUAUAAUGAGCUUUGGUGUCCUCCUCACAGAUCCUGCAACGACUCACCAAAUCAGAGAAAAUUCUAAUCUGUUGGUAUCCUAUGGCUCUCUUGAUAUUAGCUCUCAAGCCAUUCUCAAACUUUAUACAUUUGGAGAAUUCAGCUGUCUCCGCGGUAUAGUGGGGGUAGAACUUUGCAAGUUCCACAAACUUUGCAGCAUACUCAACAACAGAUAUAUCACCCUACUUCAGCUCCAGAAAUUCGAUCUCUUUCCUUCCUCAGACAUCUUCCAGAAAGUACCUGUUUAGAAAUUCUCUCCUGAACACCGCCCAGGUCACUACAGCUUCAUCCUGUUCCAACACAGGCAGCAAACUUACCCACCAGUCAUCUGCCUCCUCAGCCAACAUGUGUGUCCCAAACCGCACCUUUUUCACUUCAGAGCACUGCAUGGCCCUGAAAAUCCUCUCCACUUCCUUCAACCACGACUGGGCACCAUCUGGAUCAUACAUUCCCUUGAAUGCUGGGGGAUGGUUCCUCAAAAAGGUCUCCAGCAUCCUCACUUCUCCAUUACUAGCUUGCGGUUGCUGUUCUACAGCUUGAGCAAUAGCCUCAAGUGCACCAGCGAUAGCAGCAUCGUUUCUACCAGCCAUCUUAAGAUUCUACAUAAGAAACAACAAUUCAGAACAACAACAUCAACAACAACGACAUUAGAGCUGACACUCUAUCCUAAGUGGCUCAAUACGACUCCACUACUUGGGCGGACGGACCAACCUGCUCUGAUACCAAUUGUAACACCCCGUUUCCCAAAAUCAAUUAAAUAAUAAUAAUAAUUCAAUAUCAGAGUAAACCCAACGGGCAUGUCACAUCACAUUCAUAAUAAUUAUUAAAUCUGCCGCGGAAUAUUCUCAUCAACCACAAUUCAUACUGUUUUAAAACUCCAUAAUAAAUUCUUGGCAUGAAGGCCUUAACAUCAUCAAAUCCAACAUCAAUAGGGCUACAACGGCAAUAUUCAAAAUUUGAUACAUAGGAAAGAAAUUAAACAAUAAAAUCCCAUCCAACGUAUCAGAUCCCUAGACACUUUGAGCCACCACCAACUACUCAGGAUCACCUGCAAGUUACCUAUAGGAAGGGCAACAUUUUCAAGCAUAAGGGGUGAGAUUCACAACAAUAAUAUAGAUAAGGAAUGCAUCAAUUGAAUUUAACACCCUAUCAUAUAAUUCAUCAAUAAUAUAUAAAUAUCAUCAUUUUCAAAUAUUAUAAACAAUGGUAGUUAAUAACCCACUCAACGACUCAUGCAACUCAUCACCACUCCACUAAGACUCCUCUAACAACACCCAUGCAUGUGGUACCAUAAUCAGGACCGUAGCCCUCACCGCUGUAGAAUGGUUAAAGCAUUCAUUUUCAGGACCUAAAUCCUCACCACUAACACCACUUUAAGCAACUAGUGCUCCACCACUUUGAACGACAAGGCGUUCCAGAGCCGAAGCUCUCCCACUGUUAUGCUUAUGCAAAUGACCCACUUGAGUAUAUCUACAUACAACCAACCUAUGCAUAAAUAUGUAUAGGACACACCACUCCAAUUUACCAUAUUCAGGUAUAACUUAAUUAAUUAAAACAUACAUCCAGCCAGCAUACAUUCAUUGCAACCAAUUUAGAACAUCCAGAAAAAUACACCAACAUAAAAGCCAUGCUUAAUCAACAAGAUAAAUCAACCGUCCACAACAGAAAUCAAUCCAACAAAAUACUGGGCAGCUCGCCUCGCGAGCACAUCUGCUCGCUAUGGCGAGCUCCGGAAACAAGACACUCGCCAUGGCGAGUUCAAGGCGAACUCGAGGCGAACAAAAAUAUGGUGUUCUCGGGAGUUUUGACAUUUUUCUCAUUAAAUCAUCAAUUCUAAGUUCCCUAUUCAUCUUUUUUAUCUAAAAAUUACACCAGUCCUCUCUAAAAUCAUUUAGGUACAUAAAACUACCCAAAAUGCGGCUUAUAACAACACUUCAAAAAUCCAGUUUUUCUCAAAGGUACUCGCCAUGGCGAGUUGUCUCACUCGCGAGGCGAGCCAUGAAGUUGCUCACUCGCCUUGGCGAGCAAAGGCUACUCGCGAGGCGAGCGAUGAACUUCCGUACGGGCAGAAUGCAGGUUUUUCCCAAAAAUCCCAUUUUCCUCCAAUUCACUCCCCAAAUUAGUUUACAGAUAUGCAAUGAAAGGUUAUAUGCACUCAGAACCCAUUUCUAUCAUCAAUAUAGCAAUCCCUACUCUCAAAACCCAUUAAUUUAACAAAAACCUAGUUUCUCCCAAUUCUCUCAUAAACCUGUUAGAAUCAAAAUCAGAAUUCAGAACCUAUACAAUUGCGGUAAACCUCACCCUUACCUUAGAAUUGCAGAAGAAAAAUGCACAGCAAAAUGAUCCUUGGCUCUACUUGCUCUUCUCUCCCUUUUCUCCCAAAUGUCUUGUUUUUACGUAAAACUGUUUUCUCUGGUUUUCCUUUUCUUUAACUCCCAAAAUGUAACUCCCUUAAUUUUAAUUACUCCCCCUUAAUUCUAUUAAAUAAUACUUAACUCCCCCCAUUCCAAAAUAGUACUAAUUCUCACUUAUUCUAAUUAUUAUUAAAAUAAACUAUAUAAUAAAAUAAACACACCACAUAAAUCACCAAAAAUCAUAUAUUAGACUCCACAUAAAACAAAAUAAUUAAAUAACGACUAGGGCGUUACAGUGGUGAGCUACAACAAGUAACUCGCGAGGCGAAGGGUUAUGGCUCGCGUGGCGAGCGAUGAACAUUCAUCACUCGCGAGGAGAGGAUCAUGGCUCGCUAUUGCGAGCGAUGAAUAUAGGCUCGGGCAGAAUGCAAUUUUUACAAAAAUUUCAUCAACUAACAUGGUUCUAAGCCUAAUUUCAAUUCCAGAAUUCAUCCUAAACAUAUUCUAAGGUUAUAGGACGGUUUCUACAUCAAUCUAAUCAAGUUUUACCGUUUGAUCAUCAAUUUUAGGGAUUUGACCUAAUUUCAAAACUUUUCUAAAUCAAUCCUAACUUUGUCAAUUAAUCAUCAGAAUCAUGACAAUCAAUAUUACUGAAUUAUUAGUCUCACCCUUACCUUGUAUGAAGAAAUCGCAGCCCUCCUAGGUGAUUCUCUCUUCUCUUAUCUUAUCUCACUUUCUCCCCCAAAACUCUCUAAAAUCUCAAAACAACCCUCAACUAAAUAUUUUAUUUUAUUUUCAAAUCUUAUUUUAUUUAACAAUAAAAUAAGUCUCAUAAUCUCAUUAAAUCAUCAAAACACAUCAAAAUCACUCAAAUCAUCUUAAAUCAACAAAACUCACACAUAUAUUAUAUAAAUAUAAUAUAAUUACCUAAACUCGAUUAAAUAAUUAAAUAAACGAAAGUGGGCGUUACAAAAAGCAUCUAAGGUUCAACUCAAAAGUCAAAAACUCAGAAUUCGACAUGCUCUCUGGUCAAGCUAGCUAUGGCGAGUGGGGUUGCUCGCCGUGGCGAGCUACAACAAGUAACUCGUGAGGCGAAGGGUUAUGGCUCGCGUGGCGAGCGAUGAACAUUCAUGACUCGCGAGGCGAGGAUCAUUGCUCCCUAUGGCGAGCGAUCAACUUUGGCUCGGGCAGAAUGCAGUUUUUACAAAAAUUUCAUCAACUAACAUGGUUCUAAGCCUAGUUUCAAUUCCAGAAUUCAUCCUAAACAUAUUCUAAGGUUAUAGGACGGUUUCUACAUCAAUCUAAUCAAGUUUUACUGUUUGAUCAUCAAUUUUAGGGAUUUGACCUAAUUUCAAAACUUUUCUAAUUCAAUCCUAACUUUGUCAAUUAAUCAUCAGAAUCAUAACAAUCAAUAUUACAGAAUUAUUAGUCUCACCCUUACCUUGUAUGAAGAAAUCGAAGCUGUAACGCCCCAUUUUUAUUUAAUUAUUUUUAGUUGAUUUAAAGUCUUUUAUAUGAUUUUUAAAUGAUUUACGUUGAUUUUGUGGUGUGGUAUAUUUUAUUAAAUGAUUAUUUUUAUUAUUUAAUAGAAUAAGUGAGAAAUAUGAUUUAAUUGGAGUUCUGGGGGUUAUACGAGAAUUAAGUAAAUUUAGGGGGAGUAAAGUUAAUAUUGGGAGAUUAUAUUUAUAAAAGAAUAGAAAAUAGAGGGGAGAGGAAGUUUUCACGUACAACGGAGAAAAGGGAGAAAAAGCCUUAGAAGGGAGAAGACCAAGGGAGGGCCGCGACUUCGAAUUAACUAAGGUAAGGGUGAGGCUAACUUACAUUAAUUUUAGUGUAUAUGAUUCUGAUUAUGUUUUAACAAAAGUUAUGAAUAAAUUUGGUGAAUUGGGAAUUAGGGUUAUGAUGAGAAUUGAUGAUUAAAUGAUGAAAUUAGGGUUAAUUGAUGUAGAAAUGAUGAACAGACCUUAGAUGCUUCAUAUAUUGAUGUUUAGAAUCAGUUUCAAGGUUAGAACAAUGGGUUUGGGUGAAUUUUUGAGAAAAACUGUAACCUGGCCGUACUGUUCUUCAUCGCUCGCCUCCCGAGUGAUGAUCCUCGCCAUAGCGAGUGAUGAAGAUCAUCGCUCGCCUCCCGAGAAGGAGUUGUUCGCCUUGCGAGUUGCAUUUCGCAGCUCGCCAUAGCGAGCAAGUUUACUCGCCGUGGCGAGUGUGGGCAGAGAGCUUGCAAGAUUUUGUGUUUUUGAGCUGUGAGUUUAACCUUAGGUGUUUAUGAGGGCCUGAACAUGUACCUUAAUGAUUAGACAAAGUUUUAGAAUGAGUUUGAACUCGGAAUAGGGUCAGAAUGGAUUCUAGAGUGUUUUACCCUAACUCGCCGUGGCGAGUAGAGGCUCUCGCCUCGCGAGCUAGUGCUUGACAGACUGCGUUGUUUAGGAUUUCAUGUGACUUUGUCGCACGAGAGGUUGUGAGUUGAACUUUGAGAUAGCAAUAAAAGAUGUAUAGGAUUUAAAUGAUGAACUGUGAAGCUGGUUAGGGCAAAUUGAGGUUAUUAAUGUGAUAAAAAUUGUAUAAGUAAUACUUGGAUUAUGUGAAAAUGCUAGACAUCGUUGGAUUGUAUAAGAUAUUGUUAUAUCAUGCUGUUGUAUACUGUUGUGUUGCUGUUGAUUGAUCAUGAUUGUUAAUGAUCGCUGGUUUAUACUUAACUGCAUUCAAUUAGAUUGUACAAUGUGUUAGUUCGAGUUGUAAGUGGCGAGUUGUCGUUCUAAGUAACGGAGUCAUAGGUUGUUGAUGUUGAUCAAGUUGGGGAGUGAGUCAUAGUUAUUAUGCACGGUCGUUGUCGUUGUCGUAGUUGAGUUGUAUGCUGAUAUACACAAGUUGAGUCCUUCAUGAUUAGGAAACUGUUGAGGGCUUAUGCCCUGGAAUGCUAUGUCAUUCAACUGUUGAGGGCUUAUGCCCAGGGAUGCUAUGUCAUUCAACUGUUGAUGGCUUAUGCCCUGGAAUGCUUUGUCAUUCAGCUGUUGAGGGCUCAUGCCCUGGAAUGCCUUGUCAUUCAAAUUGUUGGGGGCUUAUGCCCCGAAAUGCUUAGUCAUUCAACCCGUUGAAAUUAGUACCACGUUAUUGUUGUUGUAGAUGUUGUUGAGCGAGUUGGUGUUGUAGAUGUUGUUGAGAGAGUUGUGGUGGUAGAUGUUGUUGAGUGUUGAUGAAUGAGCUGUUGUAGUCGUUGAUAAAUACUGAUGUGUCGUUGUUGUUGAUUGGAUUAGUAAGUGUUAUUAAAAUUGAAGAAGUAUGAAUAUUAUUACUGGGUAUAUGUUGUUAAUUAUGUUAUUUAAUUAAGUUGAUGAUUUAUAUAUAUCUAUUAUUAUUGUUUGUGAAUCUCACCCCUGCUGCUUGGAAUUGUUGCCCUUCGUAUGGGUAACUUGCAGGUAUUGAAGAAUAUUAGAAGUGGUGGCUCAAGUGUCUUAGGGCUCUGAUACGUAACGGGAUGGGAUAUCGUUGUCAUGUUUUCAUUCCUUAUGUAUCAUUAUGAACCUGUUGAUAUUGAUUUUAAUCAUUAAAGAUAUUUUGUUGAGGCCAAGUGCCAAGGAUUUAUUUGAAGGAUGUUUAAUGUUGAAAAUAUUCCCGCUGCGAUGAAUUGAUAUGUUUUAAUGAAUAGCAUUUUAUCCUAUUCAAGAAUUUUUGAAAAGCAGUGUAACACUCCGUUGUUGAUUUAACUCUGAUUUUAUUUAUUAAUAUAACUGUUGGGAAGUCGGGGUGUUACAGAAGCCCUCCUAGUGAUUCUCCUUCUCUUGGUUUUUUCUCCCUUUUUCUGCAAAACAGUCGUACGUGCAAUUGUUUUUCUAAAACUAGGUCUUUUUCUUUUAUAUCUCUUUCCUAUUUCUUAUCUUAUCUCACUUUCUGCCCCAAAACUCUCUAAAAUCUCAAAACAGCCCUCAACUAAAUAUUUUAUUUUAUUUUCAAAUCUUAUUUUAUUUAACAAGAAAAUAAGUCUCAUAAUCUCAUCAAAUCAUCAAAACACAUUAAAAUCAUUCGAAUUAUCUAAAUCAUCUUAAAUCAACAAAACUCACACAUAUAUUAUAUAAAUAUAAUAUAAUUGCCUAAACUUGAUGAAAUAAUUAAAUAAACGAAAGUGGGCGUUACACUUGAUAAGAAGUUUGUUAGACCCAGUGUUUCACCUUGGGGAGCGCCUGUGUUGUUGGUAAAGAAGAAGGACGGUAGCAUGAGGUUGUGCAUUGAUUAUCGUCAGUUGAACAAAGUUACGAUAAAGAACAGGUAUCCACUUCCCAGGAUUGAUGACUUAAUGAAUCAGUUGGUGGGUGCAAAAGUUUUCAGUAAGAUUGACUUGAGGUCAGGUUACCAUCAGAUUAAGGUGAAGGAUGAGGAAAUGCAGAAGAAGGCCUUUAGGACACGAUAUGGUCAUUAUGAAUACAAGGUGAUGCCUUUCGGUGUUACUAAUGCGCUCAGUUUGUGUAUGCAUGUUUGACUUGUCAGAAGUUUAAGGUUGAACAUCAGAAGCCUGCAGGGUUAUUGACACCGUUGGAUGUACCGGAGUGGAAAUGGGAUAGCAUUUCUAUGGAUUUUGUGAUGAGUUUACCAAACACUACGAGAGGACACGAUUCUAUAUGGGUUGUGGUCGACAGGUUGAGAAAGUCGGCGCACUUCAUUCCUAUUAACAUCAAGUAUCCGGUAGCUCAGUUGGCGGAGAUUUAUAUUCAUAACAUUGUGAAACUACAUGGAGUUCCGUCGAGUAUUGUGUCGGAUAGGGAUCCAAGGUUCACUUCUAGGUUCUGGAAGAGUCUGCAGGACGCUUUGGGUUCGAAGUUGAGGUUGAGUUCGGCUUAUCAUCCUCAGACAGAUGGUCAGUCGAAGAGGACGAUCCAAUCAUUGGAGUAUUUGUUGAGAGUGUGUGUGCUUGAGGAAGGUGGAGCUUGGGAUAGUCACCUACCGUUGAUAGAGUUCACAUACAACAACAGUUACCAUUCGAGUAUUGGUAUGGCACCGUUCAAAGCUUUGUAUGGUCGGAGGUGCAGGACUCCUUUAUGCUGGUUUGAGUCAGGAGAGAGUGUUGUGUUGGGACCGGAUUUGGUUCAUGAGACUACAGAGAAAGUCAAGAUGAUCAGAAAAAAGAUGAAAGCGUCGCAGAGUCGACAGAAGAGUUACCAUGACAAGCGGAGAAAGGCUCUUGAGUUUCAGGAGGGUGAUCAUGUGUUUCUGAGGGUUACUCCUAUGACGGGUGUAGGACAUGCAUUGAAGUCGAGGAAGUUGACUCCAAAGUUCAUUGGUCCGUAUCAAAUAUCAGAGAGGGUUGGAACUGUGGCAUAUAGAGUUGGUUUGCCACCACAUCUUUCGAACUUGCAUGAUGUGUUUCAUGUGUCGCAACUUCGGAAGUAUGUAGCGGAUCCUUCGCAUGUUAUUCCGAGAGAUGAUGUGCAAGUUAGAGACAACCUUACGGUAGAGACUUUACCCCUUGUGAAAGUCGUUUGGGACGGAGCGACUGGUGAAAGUUUGACUUGGGAGCUGGAGAGUAAGAUGCGAGAUUCUUAUCCAAAGUUGUUUGUUUGAGGUAAGAUUUCGAGGACGAAAUUCUGUAAUUUGGGGAGAGUUGUAACGCCCUAGUCGUUAUUUUAAUUAUUUUGGAUUUAUGUGGAGUCUUUUUCAUGAUUUUAAAUAAUAUUGGUGGAUUUUAUGGUGCGUUAUAUUUUAUCAUAUAGUUUAUUUUAAUAAUAAUUAGAAUAAGUGAGAAUUAGUAUUAAUUGGAGUUUUGGGGGUUAUGUUAGAAUUUAUUAGAAUUAAGGGGGAGUAAAUAAAAUAAAGAGAAGUUAAGAAAGAAAGAAAGAGUCAGAAUACGUUUUACGUGAAACAGACAAGUUUUGGGAGAAAAACCAAGAGCAAGGGAGAGGAGCUUAGGAACCGACUUUUGUUGUGCUUUUUCUGCAAUUCUAAGGUAAGGGUGAGGUUUACCACAAUUGUAUAGAUUCUGAAUUAUGAUUUUGAUUUUAACAGGUUUAUGAAAGUGUUGGGAAAAAUUAGGUUUUGUUGAAUUAAUAGGUUUUGAGAGUAGGGAUUGUUGUAUUGAUGUUAGAAAUGGGUUCCAAGUGCAUACAACCUUUCAUUGCAUAUCUGUAAACUGAUUUGGGGAGUGAAUUGGAGGAAAAUGGGAUUUUUGGGAAAAACCUGCAUUUUGCCCGUACAGAAGUUCAUCGCUCGCCUCGCGAGUAGCCUUUGCUCGCCAUAGCGAGUGAGCAACUUCAUGGCUCGCCUCGCGAGUGAGACAACUCGCCAUGGUGAGUACAUGUGAGAAAAACUGGAUUUUCAAAGUGUUGUUAUAAGCCGUAAUUUGGUUAGUUUUAUGUACCUAGAUGAUUUUAGAGAGGACUAGAGCAAGUUUUGGAUUAAAAAGAUGAAUAGGGAGCUUAUAAUUGAUGAUUUAGUGAGAAAAAUGUCAAAACUCCCGAGAGCACCAUAUUUUCGUUCGCCUCGAGUUCGCCUCGAACUCGCCAUGGCGAGUACCCCUUUUCUUGAGUUCGCCAUAGCGAGUAGGAGUACUCGCGAGGCGAGUUGCCCAGACUUUGAACUGUUGGUUCUGUUUUGUUGAUGGUUGAUUUAUCUUGAUGUUUGAGCAUGGCUAUUAUAAUGGUGUAUUUUUCUGGGAUGUUUAAAGUGGUUAUAAUGAAUUGAUGUUGGCUGGAAUGUAUACUUUCAUUUAAUUAAGUCAUACAUGUUGUUGCAUUUUGGAGUGGUGAGUCAUAUACAUAUAUAUGCAUAGGUUGAGUUGUAUGUAGAUAUACACAAGUGGGUCAGUUGCAUAAGCAUAAAAGUGGGAGAGCUUCGGCUCCGGAACGCCUUGUCGUUCAAAGCGGUGGAGCACUAGUUGCUCAAAGCGGUGUUUAGCGGUGAGGACUUAUGUCCUGAAAAAUGAAUGCUUUAACCAUUCUACAGCGGUGAGGGCUUCGACCCUGAUUAUGGUACUAAAUGCAUGGGUGUUGUUAGAGGAGUCUUAGAGGAGUGGUGGUGUGAUGCAUGAGUCGUUGUGUUGGUUUUUAAUUACCAUUUGUUGUUGAUAUUGAUAAUGAUGAUAUUUAUAUAUGUUGAUGAAUUAUUAUGAUAGGGUGUUAGAUUCAAUUGAUGCUUUCUUUAUUUAUAUUAUUGUUGUGAAUCUCACCCCUUCUGCUUGAAAAUGUUGCCCUUCCUAUGGGUAACUUGCAGGUGAUCCUGAGUAGUUGGUGGUGGCUCAAGUGUCUAAGGCUCUGAUACAUUUGGGAUGGGUUUACUUAAUUAUGUUUCAUUCCUUAUGUAUCAUAUUUUGAUUGUUGCUGAUGUAGCCCUUUUGUUAUUGGAUUUUAUGUUUUUAAGGCUUUUAUGCCAAAAAUUUAUUAUGGAGGUUUAAACAGUUGUUGUUGUUGUUUUGAUGAGAAUAUUCCGCUGCAGAUUUAAUGAUAAUUUUGAAGGAUGUUAAUUAAAUAGAUUUUUAUAUUCUAUUUAAGAAAAUUUUGAAAAUGUAGUGUGACAUGCCCGUUUGGGUUUUACUAUGAUGUUAAAUUAUUAUUAUUUAAUUGAUUUUGGGAAACGGGGUGUUACAAGAUGCACUUGACCUUGUGAAAUUCUAUCGAAGAUAUGUUUGUGACGAGAAUCGAAGAUGCUAGUUCCGGUUCGAUGAGCGGAAAGAUAUCGAAAACAGUUAUUUCUGUGGAUAAGGUCAAAUGUCGUAACGGCUAUAUUCGAUAUUCAAAUCGAAUGGCUAAGAUUAGGUAGUUUUCUACAAUUCUAACGUUAAAACUAGGUAGUUAUUUCCCUGUUUGUAUAAAUAGUAGUUUUUCUUAGGAAAAAAGGGUCACAAUUCAAUCAUACUAAAAACUUACACUUAAUGAUGUCCGUAUGGAAGCGACAAACGAGUCACAAGUUGCAAUGUAUGAACGUGUGCACCAACUUUUAUUCAGUCAAUGCAAUUUCAAUACAUUUCUUUAAAUGACUUUGCAAUUUACUUAUUCAUUUGAAGUAAUUUCUUUACUGUUAUUUGCAUCAAACUUCGAUUGGAUUCGAUUCUCUUUUAUUUUUAUCCUUGUUUCUAUCAAAGAUCUUCAAGAACAAGUGUCACGUCUAAAAGGGAUAGUAAAAGCACAAUAUGCUCUUAAGAUUUACUAGUUGAUCUUGCAAUUAAACAUUUUGAAACCAGCAAUUGUUUACCAAAUUUCAAUGUAAACAAAUUGGCACGCCCGGUGGGACCUUUUGUGCUUUUACUAUUAAAUCUUGUAAUAGAGUUUUUAAAAUUUUUGGUCUGUAUUGUGCAUCUGUUUGUGGAAUAACAAAUUACUUCCUAAAAUGACGCGUCCUCCUCCCGUUCUAGGCACAGCGGCAUCGAACGCCGCUUUCGCAUCAGGAACAGCGACCAAUCCACCAGUACCGCCAGGGCCUACGCAACCUAGCCCAACUAGUAGUACGACUUCCGUAAUAGAGCCUGUAUACACCCUAGCGGACGAUAAUGUGAAUUCACAAACGUCACAGGCCAGUACGUCGAAUACGAUGGCCAAUAAUACUUCUCGAGCCAUUCCAGCGGUUACGACGGCCGCACAAACUACACAGGCUGUGGGAAGUGCGUUGUCUCAAAGGUUUCUAUAUCUUGGCACUAGCAGAAGGGGAUCAUAUGGUAUACCAACCUCUUCGAUGCAAAAUUCGCAGACAAGUCCGUUGGUAUUUUCUGAGAAUUUAAAUACGUCAAUAUCACCAUUGUUCAACCAAGGGGGAAACAUCUCAUUUGGGAGACCCCAACAAGCGUUUGCUACGUUCGGUUCGCCUCAACAAUCGUUGACCAACGCCUCUCUAGGCGCUUUAAGGAAAACCAUGGAAGAAACUAACCAUGAUAUGGUUAAUAUGGUUACUCAAUAAGUAACAACAGUUAUCAAUCCUCUGGUUCGAGAAACCAAUAGCAGUUAUCAAGCACUAUCACACCAGAUGGAGCGAAUAGCCGAUUUUUUGGGCGCACCUGCAGUGCGAAUCGCACCAACGCCUCAAAACACUAAUGUAAGGCAAAGAGAGGCACCUGUCGAAGAACAGGUAAAUCAAGUGCCUGAAAAUCAAGCAAAAGAAGUGAAACAUGAAAUACCAGGGGAGCCUGUCAGGAUUCCCGUAAUGGUGAAUAUGCACCAAAAUGCAGAUCAAGUGGUCAUGCAAGCCCGUCGAAACAACUAUGAGGGCCAAAAUAAUAUAGCUAACAUAGUCGAGGCAUUGUUAGCCCAAAAUGGUUUCAAUACAGGAUUACACCGCCCAAAUUUCGUUUCAGCCUUAUCCGAAUUUGUGCUGGAAACUGAGAUGCCUAGAAACCAUAAAAUCCCCAAGUUCACUAAAUUCGUCGGGGAAACAAAUGAGUCAACAGUCGAACAUAGUGCUCGAUAUAUUAUGGAAGCUUGGGACUUGGCGAAUAACGAGAACUUGAAGAUGAAAUAUUUCCCAAGCUCUCUAACGAAGAAUGCAUUUACAUGGUUCACAACGUUGCCUCCUCAUUCUGUAGUCAGUUGGAACCAAUUGGAAAAGGCAUUCCAUGAGAAAUUUUACAUGGGUCAGUCUAAGAUUAGUUUGAAAGAACUGGCUAGCGUUCGACGCAAGACACAUGAGUCGAUAGAUGAUUAUCUGAACAGAUUCCGACUCCUUAAGGUCAGAUGCUUCACAUCUGUGCCAGAACAUGAGUUAGUCGAAAUGGCCGCCAGAGGCCUAGACUAUUCUGUUCGGAAGAAAUUAGAUACACAAUAUCUUAGGGAUAUGGCACAAUUAGCAGAUAGAGUCCGCCAAGUUGAAAGGUUUAAGGCUGAAAAAGCCAGGACAAAUAGGUUCCCUAAGAAAGAAAUGGUUGCUUAUAUAGAUACUGGAGAUAGUGAUCCAGAAUUCGAUUGGGGAUCUAAAUCUGUUGAUGAUAACGAAAUAAAUCUCGCAGAAUUAAAAGAUGGGCCACCUUAUACUUGUAAGUUACUAAGGCCAUCAAAUGGAAAAAAUCUAGAAGAACCUAAAAAUGAUAAAUAUCCCCCGAUAACAUAUACUUUUGAUGUAUCUAAAUGUGAAGAGAUUUUUGAUCUUCUAGUUACUGAUGGCAUAAUUCUAGUGCCAAGUAACAUGAAACUUCCUCCUCUAGAGCAGAGGAAAAAGAGAGGUUUUUGUAAAUUCCAUGGUUUUUUAGGACAUAACUUAUCCCGUUGUACUCGUUUCAGGAGGCUCUCGAGGAGGGAAGACUGAAAUUUGGAGAAAAGUCUAAAACGACUACAAAAUCUGAUGUCGAACCUUCAAAGAAAGCCGACUCCAUGUAUGCUGAAGUGAUUGGCAUAAAUAUGGUAGAUGUUGCAGAAUCAAGCGAUAGCAAGCUACCAUUGGAAAUACAACCCCUCAAAAGGGUACUACUUAAUGAUGUUGAAAUGGUUACAGAAGACCAUGUUUCAAAUAACAAUAUGGUCACUGAAGACCAAUUCAAUGAAAAUGUGGAAGUGGCAUAUCCUAACGAUGAAGAAGAUCUAGUUGAUUUUCUCAAUCGCUGCAAAAUCACCAACACCAAUGCUAUGUUUUGUCCUAGAUGCAGCGCAGUCUUCGAUAAAGAAGCCGCAAAAGCAAUUGAGAGCUUUCAACGACAGACAAAGAGCAAAGGCAGAUGGAAGGACAACCGCCCUAACUUUAGUUUUAACAAAAGGGGUGUCCCAUACAAGAAUAAUUUUGCGGGAGAUUCUCGAGGGAAGAAUUGGAGGAGAACUUUCAGCCCAUCCGCAAGGUCCCCCAUUGACACUUGGGUUUUUUCAAGGGGCAAGAAAUCUGGGUACUCCGCUCCCCCAACAAAAUGGGUGAAGAGAAAGCUCCCUGCCCCUCGACAGGAGGUGCCAGAAGUGCCUAGUAGAUACGCCUACAAUAACAACUACAAAGGUAAACAGCCUAUGACGAGAACUCAAUGGCGCAGAUACCAGCGCAAGAAAAAAGCAAUUGCUUUACAGGACAUUACCAAUGUUGACAAAGGGAAAGGGAAAUAAGAGGCUGUUUUCAAAAUGGUUAAAAAGCCAGCCAUGGAAAGAAUCUCCCCUCCCUUAUCAAUUUUGAAGAGAGGUCAUCCUAAGGAGGAUGAAGAAAUGACUUCGAAUUUCACUGGAUCUGACCCAGUCUCGAUAUAGUGUGCAAUGUGGUGUCAGUUUUUCCUGUGGAAUACGACGUUCAGUCGGAAGUUAAUGAAGUUGAAAGUGACUUCAUCGACAAAAUGGCCAUCCAUAAGCCAUUAUGCUAUUAUGUCAUGAACAAUGGCUGUGUUGAAGAGCAGCAUGCCGUUUUUGAAAGACCAGAUGCUUUGAUGAAACUGCAUCUUAAGCCUUUGUUUAUUCAAGCCAAGAUAAAUGGCGUGGGAGUGAAUAAGGUGUUAGUUGAUGGUGGAGCCACCGUUAAUCUGCUCCAUCAGUAAUUUUUGGGGAAGAUUGGACUCUUUGAUUCCGAUUUAAAACCUCACAAUGUUAUCCUCACUAACUAUGAAGGUACAUCAGGGAAUUCUCUUGGUGCUAUCGAAUUGGAGUUAGUGGUGGGCAGCGUAAGCAGAAUGACAAUGUUUAUGGUAGUCCCAUCAAAGGCAAAUUUUAACGUGCUAUUAGGUAGAGAAUGGAUACAUGGUGUAGGCAUAGUCCCUUCCACUGUGCACCAAAGGAUUGCCAUAUGGAAAGAUGAUGGACUAGCUGAAAAUGUUGAAGCUGACCAAAGUUAUUUCUUGGUUGAGGUGAAUACCAUCACCAAGAAGAAUUUCGAUAAGCAACUAGCGCACAUAACUCCAGUCAUGUCUCCAGGACCCAAAUGUAUGAUUUCAGAUGAUGAGAUGUAUUCCAUGAAACUUCAUCCAAGGGCUGGAUUUGUGUGGGAAAAAGAAUUUAGGGAGCAUGAUUAUGUGAUGGUCAAUCAAAAUCAGAAAAUGAGGAUAUGCUCAGGACAAGAAAUUCUACAUACCAAAAGGUUGCUGACAGCCUUACACCAGGUUUUCCUAAGUAUGCUGCCCCGCCAACUGGGUGGGAUGCCGAAGAAUAGACCAUGACUGAGCCCAAUAUUUGGGAGAAAAUUACGGCCUACGUGGCCGAAAAUAAGUUUAAAACAACUAAAGAGGCCGAAAACUUGCGACAAGAGGUGAUCGAGAGUUUGACGGAAGAGUCUCUAGAUGAUAUCAUCGAAGACCAAAUUUUGGACUGUAUCUAUGAUGACGAACUGUUGGGUUUCGAAGAAGAUCCCAUGAGAUCUACGAAUAAAAUGAGAGCACAAGAUCCCCUCGAAGAAAUAGAUUUGGGGAAUGGCACUAUUAAAAGACCUACUUAUAUAAGUGCAAAGAUUCCCAGAGAAUUUAAAGAUCAAAUUGCAGAGCUGUUGAAAGAAUACAAAGAUUGCUUUGCAUGGGAUUACGAUGAGAUGCCUGGACUAAACAUGAAAGUGGUAGAAUUGAAGUUACCAAUUCGACCAGACAAAAAGCAGUGAAACAAAUUCCUCGUAGGUUUGCCCCGCAAAUCUUACCAAAGAUUAAAGAAGAAAUCGAAAGACUCCUGAAAUGCGGCUUCAUCAGGCCUGCAAGGUAUGUAGAUUGGCAAGCAAAUGUAGUCCCUGUUAAAAAGAAAAAUGGAACCAUAAGGGUAUGUAUAGACUUUAGAGAUUUAAAUCUCGCUACCCCUAAAGACGAAUACCCAAUCCCUGUGGCAGAAAUGCUGGUAGAUUCAGCGGCGGGUUUCGAAUACUUGAGUAUGCUAGAUGGAUAUUCAGAUUAUAAUCAAAUCUUCAUUGCUGAAGAAGACAUCGCUAAGACCACAUUUCGAUGUCCGAGGGCAUUAGGGUGCUAUGAAUGGUUAGUAAUGCCAUUUGGUCUAAAAAAUGCUGGUGCUACGUACCAGAGAGCGAUGAAUUUAAUGUUUCAUGAUUUCAUAGAAGAUUUUAUGCAAAUUUAUAUUGAUGAUAUUGUGGUAAAAUCUUCUUCAGAGGAGAAACACUUGGGACAUUUACGCCGAUCUUUUGGAAGGAUGAGGCAAUAUAGACUGAAAAUGAAUCCAUUAAAAUGUGCAUUUGGGGUUUGUACAGGUGAUUUUUUAGGUUUCGUGGUUCAUAAAAAAAGGAAUCGAAAUCAACCAGAACAAAACCAAGGCAAUAAUUGAGACUCAAGCUCCUUCUACGAAGAAAGAGUUACAGUCGUUAUUAGGAAAAAUCAACUUUCUUAGGAGAUUUAUAUCGAAUCUAAGUGGCAAGACACAAGCUUUCUCGCCAGUACUCCGAUUGAAGAAAGAAGAUACUUUUAAAUGGGAGCCAGAGCACCAAAAGGCCUUUGAUGAAAUCAAGUCAUAUUUGAUAUGUUGGAAUAAGCCCUAAUAGCCAAUCUAUAUUGAUUGGGUUUGGUUUUGUAUCAUGAUAUUGAUAUAAAUAUUGUUAUCUGGAUUUUGGGGUGUCAAGUCAUUAAUUAGGCUUGAACCUUUCAAUCUUUGAUAUUCUCUAUUUUUUCUUGGGAAGGGGAAAAUUGAGAAAAGCCUUUGAAACUCUAAGUUCGGGGGUCGUUUUCGUUACGGGAAGGUGUUAAGCAUCCGGAACGACUAUAGUAUUCUAUAGGAACCGUUUUCCUAAGUUUAUGACUACGCUUUAUUUUUAUGCUUAUUUAUGGAAAAGAAAAUUUAUUUAGUUUAAGAACGGAGGGAGGAAAAUGUUUGAGAUUUUAUUUUAUUGGACUUGGAGAGGUUUUGACCUCUUGCCUACAUACCCUUUUAAGGGAUCAAAAUUCCAUGUAGUUCUCUCUCAAAAAAUUGUUUUUGUGUGUUUGAUUGAUUUUAAGUUUUGCAAAUGGUUUUGAAGAAGAGAAAGAGGCCGUAAAGGCAUGAGACGAGACAAUAGUGAAUGGUUGGUUCAAUUAUUAAAGAAAGAGUGUCUAAGUAGAAAUUAAGAUUCCUUGAAGUUUUGAUUAAGAAAAUAAAGGAAAAUACAAUGGAGUGUUGACUCCAAGGUUUAUUAGAGAAAAAAAAGUUUGAGUUAUGGAGUUAUUUCCGGGAAAAUGAUAUUUUUUCUAAGCAUUGCGUUUCCUAAACAUACAUCUAAGCGGUAAACAUACAACGUGUGUGCGUGUCGGUGCUCGUGUCGGUGUACAUCAUUAUAGAGAGUCCAUUGUCCUUUACACUUUGCCCUAGUUUACAUGCUAUGGUCUUGUAAGAAAUUAAAAGGAAAUUAAACUACCUAGACUAUUACAUGUCCACUUAACAUAAGAAUGAAUAGGAAUGAAAUGAUGAAAUGCUAUAAAAUGGAUGAGACAUAGAACAAAAAUGGUUAGUAAAAUAAGGCAUGAAAAUAUGGCAAGGAGAGCAAACAAAGGAAUAUAGGAUAAACGGUAAAAUAACGACGAUAACCACAAUACAAAGAGAAAUGCAAUAGUUGCAAGGCAAGAAAUUAACAAAUCAUGUCGAAAACAGCGAAACACACACACAAAAAGCGACAUUCUCAUCAUGAAAUUGCACAUCGGACAUUCAUACCAUAGAUCAAGAUAUCACGAACGGAAAAACGAGAAAUUGCAUGAAAUUCAACUAAAGAGAAAAAGUAAUCAAGAAAGCAACACAUAUGUUUUUUUAUCAAUUUUAUAACAUGUAAAACAUCACAAAAAAGUAAAAAAUGUAUCAAGAAACACAUAGAAAUUUUUUUAGGAAUUUUUACGAGAAAAUUAGAACGAACAGUGGUUCAAACAGCAAGAAAACACGGUGUGAAUAGCAAGAAAACAACAAAAACGCAGCUAAACCAAAGGGAAUAGGCCCAAGCCCAAACCUAAGGGAUCCGAACGCACAGGAACCACAGGAUUGAUCCAGGGGAUCAAACCCUCGAUCAAACGGCCAGGAUUGAAGGGAAAUGGACCGGUCCGGUUCACUGGCCUAUACAAGGAGGGGAACACCGGUUUAUUUCAUUUGCUAUUGUCCUUUAUUUCUCUAACUUCUCACUUCUCUCAUCUCUCUCUGACUUCCUCUGUCGGACUCAUGAACGAAAGGCUGGGGAAGAUGAAGAUCUGGCCGGAACCUUCAUAGGUCCGCCGGAAUCUUCAUCUUCUCCGGUGAGAUCUCCAGUUUCCAGCAACCUCUAACCUCACCAGAACUUCAAAAUUUUUACGUCUUUCUACUCGCCUCUAAACCCUAAACACGAAUCUAACACUGAUUUUCACAAGCAAGGCUUGAAAUAACGUAGAUCUAGAAUUUUCAUACGGUUUUGAAAAUUAUUUUUAGGUUUUUUCAACUUUUUGAAUGUAACCGUUCAAACUCCUACAGAUCUACAUAGUUUCGUCUUUGUUACUGUUCUUGAGAAAGAAAGAUGAAGUUUGAGUUUUACCUGAGUUUUUAAUCGGAGAUUUCACGAGAUUCUUCGGAAAAACUUGAUUCUUGGCUCUGUUUUGUUGAUUUUGCUUGGAAACCGAAAAUAAAUCGGUGUCUUCACCGGUUCACUUUCUUCAUUUUCUUCGCCGGUUUGAAACUCUUUUCCUUUUCUUCUUCUUCUUCUCCCUGUGAUCGGUGCUUGAGUUUCUCACCUCCGGUGAGGAAUUCGCGCCUGGAAAUGCAGGGACUUCAGUUCAGUGAUGAAGAUUCAUCCAUGAAUCUCUGAGAACUGAUGCGAUUUCAGUGAAUUUGUUGAUGAAAUUUGGUUCUGAAAGUUAGGGUUUGUGAAUUGUUCUUGGUGGAUUUUCUGUUUUGAUCCUAACUGCCAAGAGAGAGAAGUUUUUCACGUGUUUGUGAUGUGGCACUGGUUGAAUGGGUCUCUGUGUGGAUUUCUCUGACACUGUGCACUAUUUAUAAGCUGCCACUUGUACUUGAGAUCCAAUGAAAUGGUGACACCUGGGCAUGUAUGAAAAAUGGCUCGGCCUUGGACUUGUUGUUACCUAAGGACCGUUCUGCAAAAAAUGUAAAAUUGAGGACUAAACUGCAAUUAAUAAUAAUGGACUAAAAUGCAAAUUUAAAAAGCUUUGGACUAAAGUGCAAUUUUGGAAACUUGCUUGAGGGACCAGAAUGCAAUUAAAAAUAAAAUUGAAUUAAAAUUGGUAAAUUGGAAAAAAAAAGUAAAGUGAAACCUAAAAUAAAACCAACAAAGGACUAAAACGAACCAAUUACAACAAUGAUGUAUUUUAAAAUACCUCUCUAUCGAAUUUUUGACGGGAAAAGACUUAAAUGCCCCUAGGGACUAAGCUGACUCAAACUGACUCAGACACAAUUUUGAAAUGGUUUUUAAACAAAGACUCAACGAUGAUUUGUAAAACAAGCCGAAAAGACUCAGAGACUAACACAGGGACUAAAAUGGGUUCCACUGCAGGAAAUGACCAAAAUACCCCUUUUGUAUGAUUUUUGAAAUAACAUGCAGGAAAAGCAAUUCAAUGAUUCAGAGAGUUUUCAAAUGACUUGUAAUGUAAGAAAGACACUUUGGGAUGAUCCUAUGCAAGAAAAACACAGGCAAAACCAUGAUUUAAAAAUACCUUGAGACAGAGACAGUAAAAUAUGCAGAUGAAAAUAAAGUGAAGAUUCAAAGUAAAACAACAGUAAAUUGACAAUUAUCAGUGGUAGAAAAGAAAUUUAAACGAGUAUUUUUAGGUCCAAAAUCAAGGUAUAACAGCUGCCCCUAUUUAAGUUUCUUUGUCCGGAGGGUCAAGAGACGGAGUCCUUGGCUUGACGGGACGAAGAUACUUAAAUACUAACAUUUGCACUGUGUUUGGACGUAAAAAUACGCUCGUACACUUUCGAAUAUCAUGAAUGCCAUGCAACAUUUGGAUUAUGAAUGCAAGACAAACGAGAGUUGGAUUUAAAGUAUGUCGUAUCCAUUGCGGGAUUGGUAGACAUUGGCAGGAUAGCAGAUGACAGGGUAGACAGGUCACAAAAAACAAACUGACAGGUACAAGCUGCUCUUGGAUUGAGCUGGGCACUCGACCAGGAAUAAAGGCAGACAGACAGGUGCGAGUCGUUCUUGGAUGCGAACUGGUUACUCGACUGGGGACAUGGAAAAGCAGACAGGUACGAGUUGUUCUUGGAUUCGAACUGGUCACUCGACCGAAAACAACGGCAAAUAGACAGGUGCGAGCUUGUUCUUGGAUGCGAACUGGUUACUCCACCGGAGACAUAAACAAACAGACAGGUGCAAGCUGUUCUUGGACUUGAACUAGCCACUUGACCGAACAGAAACAAAUAGACAGGUACAAGGUGUUCUUGGACUUGAACUAGCCACUUGACCAAACAGAAACACAUUCAUUGGGGAUUAGUUUUUGGCAAAAUAUAAAUUGAAAUUGACUUGACAUUGACAUAUCCUAGAGAUGGGCCAAUGGCACUGGCUCACCAGGUCUUGACAGAGAAUUUGACAUAGGUAUCGAAUCGAGACUGUAAUUGACAUUGGAAAUGCAACAUGUAUGGGUGGUAUAAUAGUUUUAUUAAAUGUAUGGGCACGUAAUAUGCAUGAUUAUGCAUGUAUGAAUGCUUGUAAUGCAUGACUGUUGGCAGUUUGUAGACACAGUUUCGCAGAGACAGACAAGACAUUGGAAUAUUGGGCACGUAGUGGCUCGUGCUAUAUCACACAUUCUUGGAAAUCCUCUUUGGAUAUAACGUCGUUGGGAGACGUAUCGGGACCAUGGCUGAGGGCAGGUAGCUAUGCAACUUGCUGGGGAUAGAAUCUCGGAAGACUCUGCUGGAGAUAAUGCCGUCAUCGCUGGGCAUUUAAGUGUUGGGUGUACUGUGGAUGUUGCAUCUGUGGUCAAUGCUUUUUGCAUGUCAUUUUCUCAAUUUUUCAUUUUUCAUUGCAUCCCAUUUUUGCCUGGAUCGCCCUUUCGGGUUUUCGAUCCACCGGGGAAAUAAAUUCUUUUCAUUGCCCCAUUUUUGGCUGAACUGCCCUUUCGGGUUGUCAAUCCAGCGGGGUGCUCAUUUUUGCCUAAGUCGCCCUUUCGGGUUUUCAACUUAGCGAGCCUAUUCAUUUUCAUGCAUUUUCAUUCUGUUUUUUCAUUCUUGCCAUUGGCCACAGACUAUCCUAGGGAAGAGCCUGCUUGUAACACAUAUUGAAAUAGACAUCGACAUACGCUCGCUCAUGCACGUUUCGUUUGAAUGUACCUUGUUGCUCAUGCUUGCUUUCAAAACAGACAAAAACUUUUUUAUUUUCAAGAAGUUUGUUUCAAGCAUUGUCAUUAUCAAAAUAGAAAGAAAAUGUUUUUUUGUACAUAGCUUUGAAAGUAGAAAGAAAGUAGAGUUUCAAACAAAAGCCUAGGCUCGAAUUGAUGUAUAAGAGUGGUGGUCAGCCGAAGGCGUGACUCCACGGAUUUACAAAGCUUGGAAAAUGGCAAUUUUAUUGGUUGGUGGUACAUUGAACACGGCAACCACUACAUUUCCUAGAAACUUUGAAUUCGCAAACACAAAAGCUUCUGAUGAGAUGGUCAUUAACAGCUGCAGAUGCCCCAAGGGGAUGGUGGUUUGCCAGAUACAGUCAUUUGUCUUUUCAUUUCAAUCUCAUUUUUGCAUGAACCGCCAUUUCGGGUUUUCGGCUCAUCGAGACGCUCAUUCUUGCCUAAGUUGCGUACAAUCUCAGCGAGCUUUUUUCAUUUUUUUUUUGUCCCUUAUUUUGCCUGGAUCGCCAGUUCGGGUUUUCGACCCACCGGGAAGCGCGUUUUUGCCAAGGCCGCCCUUUCGGGUUUUCGACCUUCCACGCUGUUCUUUUCAUACAUCUAAACAAACAAUUUCUUGACUAUAUCGGCAUUCACAGGGUUUGGAAGUUCAACACCAUCCAUAUGUGUGAGAAUUAAAGCACCGCUGGAGAAGGCCUUCUUGACGACGUAAGGACCUUCAUAGUUAGGUGUCCACUUACCCCUUCGGUCGGGUUGCUGGCUUAUCCUUCUUUUCAACAUGAGUUCACCCUCUUUGAAUUCCCGAGGACGGACUUUCUUGUCAAAAAUGGUUUUCAUUCUUGCUUGAUACGACCGCCCACGAACCAUGGCAUUCAUACGCUUUUCUUCAAUCAAGUUCAACUGAUCAUACCUGUUUUGGCACCAUUCAGCCUCGAAUAACUUCGCUUCCAUGAUUACACGAAGAGAUGGGAUUUCCACUUCUAACGGGAGAACUGCCUCCAUACCAUAUACCAGAGAGAAGGGGGUUGCCCCGAUUGAACUACGCACUGUGGUACGGUAACCAUGUAGAGCAUAGGGUAGCAUCUCAUGCCAGUCCUUGUAACUAGUAACCAUCUUCUGAAUAAUCUUCUUGAUAUUCUUGUUGGCGGCUUCAACUGCACCAUUCAUCUGAGGCCUAUAAGGAGAAGAGUUAUGAUGCUCAAUUUUGAAUUCUUCACAUAGAGCUUGCACUACGUCAUUAUUCAGAUUAGUACCAUUGUCAGUAAUGAUCUUGCUGGGAACACCAUAUCGACAGAUGAUGUUGUUCUUGAUGAACUUAGCUACCACUUGCUUGGUCACAUUGGCAUAGGAUGCAGCUUUAACCCAUUUGGUGAAGUAGUCAAUUGCCACUAAGACGAAACGAUGACCGUUUGAAGCCUUCGGUUCAAUUCUUCCAAUCAUGUCGAUGCCCCACAUUGAGAACGGCCAUGGGGUUGAAAUAACAUUGAGCGCGUGCGGAGGCACAUGAAUUUUAUCAGCAUAGAUUUGACAUUUGUGGCACUUUCUGGCGUGUUGGUAGCAAUCAUGCUCCAUGGUCAUCCAGUAGUAACCGGCUCGUAACAACUUCCUUGACAUAGUAUGCCCUGUAGCAUGGGUCCCGAAGGUACCGUCAUGUACGUCAUGCAUUAAUUGCUCUGCCUCAUGCUCAUCAACACAUCUUAACAAUACCAUGUCGUAGUUUCUUUUGUACAAAAUGUCCCCAUCUAACAAGAACCUACUAGCCAAUCUUCUCAGAGUCUUCUUGUCUUUGUUGGAAGCACCCGGUGGAUACUCACGGCUUAGCAAGAACUGCUUGAUGUCGUAAUACCAGGGUUUAUUGUCAACCACAUUUUCACCAGUCUGAUCGAUCACAUCCCCAAUAGCGAACACAUGCGAAGGUCUUUCAAGGCGUUGCACUUUGAUUAUUGGCACAUCAUUCCAAUGGUUUACUCGAAACAUAGAGGAUAGAGUAGCAAGAGCAUCAGCCAUUUGGUUCUCAUCACGAGGGAUAUGGUGUAAUUCAACCUUUGUGAAAUAUGACAACAGACGGCUCACAUAAUCACGGUAAGGAACCAGCUUGUCAUGAUGGGUCAUCCAUUCACCCUUUAUCUGGUUAAUAACAAGUGCAGAAUCUCCAUAGAUGUCGAGGUGUUUGAUUCUCAUGUCAAUUGCUCCCACAAUCCCCAAGAUACAUGCUUCGUACUCAGCCAUGUUAUUUGUACAGUCGAAUAGAAUCCGGGCGGUAAAAGGGAUGUGAUGCCCCUGCGGGGAUACAAUGACUGCUCCGAUUCCUUUGCCAUAAGCGCUGACAGCACCAUCGAAGACUAAUCCCCAUUUGCUAUUAGGAUCUGGUCUUUCACCAAUCAACGGUUCUUCGCAGUCUUUUGAUUUCAAAUACAUGAUCUCCUCAUCGGGGAAAUCGAACUUAGUCGGCUGGUACUCAUCAAGAGGUUGAUAGGCAAGGUGAUCAGCAAGAAUGCUACCUUUGAUUGCCUUUUGAGUUUUGAACACAAUAUCAUAUUCAGACAAGAGCAUUUGCCAACGCGCAAUUUUUCCAGUAACAUCAGCUUUCUCAAAGAUAUACUUGAUUGGAUCCAUCCUGGAUAUCAACCAAGUUGUAUGAUUCAUCAAAUAGUGGUGCCCAAGCUAGAGCACAACAAGUCUUCUCAAGCAUCGUAUAUUGGGCUUCGCAGUCGGUAAAGUUCUUGCUCAGAUAGUAGAUAGCAUGCUCUUUCUUUCCAGUCUCGUCUUGUUGACCGAGUACACAUCCCAUGGAUUCAUCUAACACUGUCAAGUACAUAAUCAAGGGCCUUCCUUCCACUGGCGGGACAAGGAUAGGUGGUUCCAGCAGAUAAUCUUUGAUGCUAUCAAAAGCUUCCUGGCAUUCAUUAUUCCACACAAUAGGUUGAUUCUUUCUGAGUAAUUUGAAAAUUGGCCCGCAGGUUGCGGUCAUAUCAGAUAUGAAUCGGGAGAUGUAAUUCAAACGCCCGAGGAAACCUCGGACUUGCUUUUCGGUCUGUGGUGCCGGCAUCUCUCUGAUGGCCCGGAAUUUGUCAAGAUCGACUUCAAUGCCCUUUUGGCUAACAAUGAAGCCUAGCAGUUUUCCGGAUCUGACACCGAACGUACACUUGUUGGGGUUCAGCCGAAGCUUGUACUUUCUCAACCUUUCUAACAUUUUUGUCAAAUACUCAACAUGCUGUUCCUCAUCUUUUGACUUCACAAUCAUAUCGUCCACGUAUACUUCAACUUGUUUAUGAAUCAUAUCAUGAAAUAAAGUAGUCAUUCCUCUUUGAUAGGUAGCGCUCGCAUUUAUCAGGCCGAACGGCAUUGCUUUGCAACAGAAGGUGCCCCAUGGGGUAAUGAACGAUGUCUUUUCCCUGUCUUCAGGUGACAUUUUGAUCUGGUUAUAACCGGAGAAGCCGUCCAUGAAGGAGAACACCUUGGACUGAGCAGUGUCAUCGACAAGCACAUCAAUGUGAGGCAAAGGGAAAUUGUCUUUGAGACUAGCCUUAUUCAAAUCCCUGUAAUCAACACACAUCCGAACUUUCCCAUCUUUCUUUGGCACGGGUACAAUGUUGGCAACCCAUUUAGGAUACUCGACUGUCAUGAGAAAACCCGCAUCAAUCUAUUUUUGAACCUCAUUCUUAAUCUUGAGAGCCAUAUCUGGACGAGUCCUUCUCAAUUUCUGUCUAACGGGAGGGAUUCAGGCUUUGUCGGUAUCCGAUGUUCCACAAUCUUAGGAUCUAGACCCGACAUAUCUUCGUAUGACCAUGCAAAAAUAUCCGGAUACUCUCGGAGAAGUUGGAAGAUCUUCUUUUUAACCCUCUUCUCAAGAGCAGCACCGACCUUGAUCUCUCGCUUGUUUUCUUUGGUACCCAAGUUGAUGAUCUCGAUCUCUUCUUGGUGAGGCUGAAUGGCUUUUCCCUCUUGUUCAAGCAGUCGAGUGAUCUCAUAUGGUAUAUCAUCAUCCUCCUCAUCUUCGGCUUCGUAUACAGGGAAUUCAAAAUUUGGAGGAACCGUAGGGUUACUAUGUUCAACAGGUUUAUUAUGGUUCAAACUGCAUAAAAUGGUUGAAUGAUUUUAGAAAAGGUUUUUUUUUUUUUUUGUAAUUAAUAAGAAAAAUAAAGAUGUUUUGGUUUUUUCUGGCAUUACCAUUAUUUCCAAGGAAAAAAGCACUAAAAGUAAAAAGCCGUGAAAGAAACGACGAUUUUUAUUAAUAACGGCGAUGCCGAAACAAACACGCCCUUUCAGAAAUAUCACUCUCGCUUCGGGAAGAGCGAGAGGAUUGUUAUUUUGAAAAACAAAACACUUAAGCAACAAGACACAUUACUCAGAAUUAUGCAUGAUUGAAGGAAUGUUGAUGGCAUCCCAAUUUCUCGCAAUGCCUCCUGGUAUAACAAACAUAGGCCCAGGACUACAUUCAGUUGCAUCUUCAGUAAUUGCAUUGACAAACCCAGCACUGUAGAAGGUUCCUGUGGAGACUCCUGAAGUUGGGGAAUAUCCGAGACCCUCUCUGUGCUUAUUCUCAAGGAGUUGUAUUAACUUGCCCCAGCCGGUAGCUUGACCUUCUAGGACAGCCCUCUGAGCAUCCUUCAAAGAGGCCAUAGCAGCUCCAGCCCUCUUGGGCUCCGUACCUUCGAUAGUCAAACCCUGAAAAGCGGUUCCUUCUGCAGACCCUGCUUCAAUGCAAGAGAAAGAUGAUAGCUGGCUAACCAAAUAUGCCUCCUCUCCAUGGACUGUAACGAGCUUUCCAUUCUUUACAAACUUUAACUUUUGGUGCAGGGUAGAGGUCACUGCCCCAGCGUCAUGUAUCCACGGUCUUCCUAGGAGACAGCUAUAAGAAGCAUUGAUGUCCAUGACCUGGAACGUGAUUAGAAAGGUUUCGGGACCGAUAGUUAUUGGCAGAUCUAUCUCCCCAAGAACGUUCUUACGGGAUCCGUCGAAGGCUUUAACCAAAAAGGUACUCCUUCUCAAAGGAGUUCCCCGAUAGCUCAACUGAUCCAGAGUCGAUUUAGGCAUUACAUUCAAGGACGAGCCAGUGUCCACCAGUACAUUCGAUAGCAUGUCAGAUUUGCAAUUCAUAGAGAUGUGUAGAGCCAGAUUGUGGUAUUUCCCUGCUUCAGGAAGCUCAUCCUCGCCAAACCACAGAUUAUUGCAAGCAGUGAUAUUCCCCACUAUGCUGCCGAAGUGGUCCACAGUGACCUCGUGGUCCACAUAGGCUUGUUCUAGUACUUUCAAAAGGGUGUUUCUGUGAGCCGCGGAACUCAGAAGUAAAGACAAGAUGGAUAUCUUUGACGGAGUUUGUAACAGCUGAUCCACGAUCUUGUAGUCACUUCUCUUGAUUAACCUCAAAAUCUCAUCUAAGUUGGAAUCCUCGAUAGACUGGCCUGGCCGGGAAACAUCUGGUGGAGGCACUUUAUCACUGGGUAUAGCGGUAGGUAUAGCGGUCUUCUUUGGGAACAGCGGCGGGCGGACUUUUCCGCUCCUCAGUGUUGUAGUCUCCUCGGCAAUGUUUCUUAUCACGGUUGAGGACGCCAGGGGCACCUCUACUCCAUUUUCAAUCGUGGUGGCAUUGUACUUGUAAGGAAUAGCCUUUGUAGAAGUGUAAGGUACUGGUCCAAGCAGUCUUAUCACUAGAGGCUCGAUACUCCCUUUUGGAGGCAUACUCUUGGCAGGCGGAUCAUGAAAGACUGGCACAAUCACACAAAUGUCGCUGAUAGUCAGAUAAUUGUCGUUCAUCAGGCUCUGGAUAUCAUUCUGAACAACGUAGCAACCCCAAGGAUUAUGGCGGCAUUCUGGACAAUUGGCAUGAUCAUGGUCAAACAAGGAGGCUUGGCAUAGCUUGAUGUGUAGCGGUACCAGAGGAGUUGCAACAUUACGAACGUCAAGACUGGGAACUUCUUCAUGAGUCUCGAUCAUGUUCACAGCAGCGUGAUUCGGAAGAGGAUUGUCAAGAACAUGAGGGACAUUGUUCUCAAAAGUUAACUUUCCCUGGUCAAUGAGCUUCUUUACAAUGUACUUCAAAGCGUAACAUCCUUCAACAUCAUGGCCCAGAGCACCUUGAUGGAAAUCGCACUUGAGGUCAGAACGGAACCUGGGAGGCAACGGGUUAGGUGGAGGCUUUCCCUGCCUGGUUGUGCAGUGCCCUUUGAGAAGCAAAGUCGGGAGCAGCUCGGCGUACAGCAUUGGUAUCGGAGGAAAGGUAGGUCUGGUUUGUUGCUGCUGCUGUUGAGCCAACGGCUGUUGCUGCAUUUGCUGAGCAAUGGCAUUGACGGGUACCUGAGGUUGACCCGGCGAUGGCGGAUACUGGUGAUAAAAUGGUGGGAAGAAAGGAUGCUGAGAGUAUUGCAUGUACUGAUACGGCGGAGGUAGCUGAGCAGCAUUGAUGGGGGCAACAGUAGCCAUGGAUUGACUGGUUCCGGCAGAUACCAUCCCUACUUCUGUCUCUUUCUUCUUAUGAUGACCAUUGCCAUACUUCCUUGAUGCAUUUGCAGAGGAUUCACAUUUUUCAAACACAAUAAUGCCAUCUCUGACAGCCUCUUCUAAGCGGGUUCCCAUGGUGACCAUCUCAGAGAAGUCACUUGGAGCAGCGAUGAUCAUUCUUUCGACAUAAUCCUUUUUCAAAGUCUUCAGGAAUGUCUGAGUCAUCUCCUCUUCAUUAAGAGUAGGAGUAACACGGGCAGCCGCCCCCCUCCAUCUCUGUGCAUACUCGCGGAAGCUUUCAUCUUUCUUCUAGCAAAGGGACCUAAGGAAUUCCCUGUUUGGUUUCAGUCUGGUGUUGAACCCAUAGUGGCUUUUGAAAGCAGCAGCCAAUUCAUCAAAAGUGUGAAUGUCGUCUCGGCUUAAGCUGGUAUACCAUUCUGCAGCAUCUUCCAUUAGACUAUCCUGAAAGCAGUGGAUCAUGAGUGAAUCAUUGUCUAAGUAGUUAGCCAUCUUCCGGACAUAUUUGAUGAUGGGAUUCUGUGGACAAGUUAGCCCAUUGUAUCGGUCGAAAUCCGGAACCUUGAACUUCUUAGGGACAUCCACCUUCGGUACCAAGCAGAGAUCAUGAGUCUUAACAGUAUCGCUACUUCCCCGAUUAGCUUUGAUUUCCCGACGGAGUUCUUUAGCAAGUUCCUCCAUCCUUUCUUCCAUUGUUUUAAUCACGAGGAUGCUUCCGCGAUGCGCGUUGAUGUUAACACCUUGAGAUAUGGCAUGCACAAUGGGCUCAGUGACAGUGGCCGUUGUCUGAGGCAAGGUGGUAUUGAUAGAGACAGGGUUCGUCGCAGGAAUCUGGCCAUUAUUGAUAGUACCAGAAACGCCAGCUGCAGUAUUAGGAGAGUAAUAUGGUGACAGUCCAUAAGGAAACCCGUUUGGCAUAGCAAAUUGAGCGUUGGGAGAUGUAGUUGGGAUCACACCUGUAGAUGCCGGUAUGGAUGUGGCCGGUUGUUCCUGGGCGGCUAGCAGAGCAGUCAUGGUGUCAUUGGCCUUAGCCAAUUCUUCCCUCAAAGAAGCUAACUCGGUACGGAGCUGAGCAUUUUCUUCUUCCAUGGCUACCUUAUUCCUUCUUCUGUAUGAUCUAGUCUGGUGAACUCUGGUAGGUUGAUAAAUCUUUCGGGCACGAGCCACCUUUCAAACUGUGGCAGAAGAACCAGGAGGCAAUGAGCACUUGGAAGCUUUUUGUGACCGAUCAAUGAUGCAUAUGAUGCAUGAUAUGUACAAAUGCAGAUGCAAAAAUGACUCUUUUUUGUCAUCGAAGGGUUUUAGACAAAUUAGAAACUUUGUAAACAUUAUUUAACGAGCAAAGCAAUACGAAGUUUUACAAGGUAAAUCCCUUUAAAGUGCUAAGCCAAGGGCAGACUUUGAAAUUUUAACAAUACAGGCAAAUAAGACUCUCAAGCAUAGGAAGCGGUGGGAUGGUCGUCGGACACGGACUCUGAAUCCGAACCGCAGUAUCUAGCAUAGAAAUCACGUCGUCCUCUAGCUCUCUUGGGGUCCCGCAUGAGCAACUUAUCUUUCUCCUCAAGUUCCUUCCGGACUUUAGCUAACUCUCUUUUCAACGUCAGAUUUUCAUGAGUCUUCUGCUCAUCCUUACCAUCCAAAGUCAUAAUCAGAUUCUCAGCCUUAUUGUAUCGAGCUUUCUGUAACACCCCGUUUUCCCAAUAUACAAAUUUCUUAAACAUUUAUCAGAGUAAAACCAUAAACGGGAUAUCACAUAGAAACGUAAUCCAAAGACAGUUAAGUAAUAAUUUAACCUUCACAAAAUAUCUUUAACAUAGCAGCGGAAAAUCAUAAACAUAUAUCAUAAACGUUUUGGCACGCAGGCCCAACAAGUAUCUCAAAAGAGUUUAUCAAAGCAUAAUUUAUCAUGGCAGUUCACGUAAAAGAAUGAAGCAUGUUAUAGUAUUAACCCCAUCCCGUUACGUAUCAGAGCGACCUAGACGACACAGUGGGGCAAGGCCACUCACAGAAGCAACUGCACACUAAGCACGAUCACCUGCAAGUUACCCAUACGAAGGGCAACAUUUUCAAGCAGAAGGGGUGAGAUUUCAUAAUAAAAUAACAUUAAUCAAUGUAAUUGCGAAUCAUAAAUUAACAUUAUAAUCAUUUCUUUAUUAACUUUGCAUAAAUGCUAAACAGUUAUCACGUAAUCAUAUAUCCAAUCAUUAUAAACAACAUAACAUAAUCAAUGAACACUUAUCACGUAAUCACAUAUCCAUUCAUCAUCAACAAGGCAUCUUAAUCAUGACAAUGUGACAAUGCUCCUAGACUCCUUAUAUGCAUGUGGUACCAAUCGUCAUCAUAAGUAUUAAUAUACUUUAAUCGUGCGGAGGACAAAGCUCCUAUAAAACGUGCGGAGGACAAAGCUCCUAAUUUUCGUGGUGAGGACAAAGCUCAAUGAUAUGCUAUGCAUGGACACAUAUGAACAAAACAACGUAAUCGACUUAUCAACAUGCAUCCAAUAAUUUGGAGCUAAACUUCAUCAUAUACUUAUGCACUUAGUUAAACAACGGAAGCAGCAUAAACAAGUCACAUAUCAAGAUGAUAUCAUUAUAUCAAUAGCACAUAAAUUGCAUUAUUAUCACAUCUUCUCAUUUUGCAUGAAUAUACAAUACCAUAGUUCUUAUCCAAUUAAUAUUAAUAUAACUUAAACAACUCUACAGUCUGCAUUAAACAACAUCACUAGGUCUCAUUACCAGUUAGGGGUUCACUCUUGAUCAACAAGUGCGACACAGAUCGCACAAACACAUAAUCAAGUUCAUCCUGGUUGUACUCGCGAGGCGAGAGCUCUUACUCGCCAUGGCGAGUACCCCUCAACUCCCAAACUAAGGUUGUUCUGGGUUCCCUCUGAUCCUACAUUCAUUCCUAAUCAAUACUAGGUAUGUUCAGGUACUCAAGGGUAUACAAGGUUCAACUAAAAAGGUCGAAACACGAAACAUGACAUGCUCUCUGCCUGAGCUCGCGAGGCGAGAAAGGGUUGCUCGCCAUGGCGAGUUGGACCAAACAACUCGCGAGGCGAAGGAAAGGGGGCUCGCGUGGCGAGCGAUGAAGUUCAUCACUCGCCGUGGCGAGCGAUGAACAGAAGCACGGGCAGACUAGGGUUUUUCUCAAAAAUCCAACACACAACAUGGUUCAAAGCCUAAUUUUGAUUCCAGAAUUCAUCCUAAACAUAUUCUAAGGUUAAAGGACGGUUUCUACAUCAAUCUAAACAAGUUUUACCGUUUGAUCAUCAAUCUUUAGGGUUUUAACCUAAUUCCAAAACUUUUCUAAAUCAAUCCUAACUUUGUCAAUUAAUCAUCAGAAUUACAACAAUCAAUGCUAUUGAAUUACUAGUCUCACCCUUACCUUGAAUGAAGAAAAUCGCAGCACUCUACCUUGAUUCCUCUAGACUUGGCUUUUCUCCCUUCUUCCAAAAGUUUUCACGUACAAUGAGUUUCUAAAAUAUUAGGUCUUCUCCUAUUUAUAUCUUUUUCUAAUUACUUAUCUUAUCUCACUUUCUCCCCCAAAACUAUCUAAAAUAUCAAAACAGCCCUCAACUAAAUAUUUUAUAUUAUUUUCAAAUCUUUAUUUUAUUUAACAAUAAAAUAAAUUCUCUAAUCUUAUCAAAUCCUCCAAAACUCAUAACUUAUCACGUCAUCAAUCAAAUCAUCAAAAUCACCACAAAUCAUCAAAACAUAUCAAAAUCAUGCAUAUGUUAUAUAAUUAUAAUAUAAUUGCCUAAACUCGAUUAAAUAACGAUUAAACGAAAGUGGGCGUUACACUUUCCACAUCUGCUUCUCGUGACUCUCCAUGGCUAGAUGCUCCUGAUACAUCUCCUGAGUCGCGGGAGGUAGAGGUAAAGGUAUAGAUGGAGCAGAUGCAGAUACAUAUCUCAUAGCAGGGUAAGGCAUACCAAUCUUCUCGGCCCGAUCUAUCACCCACUAGGUAUAGGCCUCAUGAGCAAUCCCAGAUCUCACACCCAAAUGAUUCACACUCUUCCUACGAACUUUGGACCAAGCAUCCACGAAAGCCGACCUUUGUCCGGUGGGGGCAUUUGAAUAGUAGAAGAACUCCGGAGAUGUAGCAAGAUUGAUGGGCUUUGCCUUCAUCGGGAAACCAAAUUGUCUCAUAGCAAGUUCAGGAUUGUAGUUGAUUCCUCCACGGGUACCAAGGAGAGGUACGUUGAGGAAAUCCCGACAACCAGUAAUGAUCUCCUCAGCCUGAGCGGCGGGAGUAAGCCAGAUCACCUCAUUAGGAGUGAGAGCCAUAAUCCGCUGUGAGUAAGACCAAUUCUCCGGGUUGGUAUGGAAAAAGCUCGGAAGGUGAGAAAUAAACCACCUAUAUAGGAGAGGCACACAGCAAAGGAUAUAUCCACGACCUUUGAGAGUCCGAUCAUGGAUAGCAUGGUAUGUGUCAGCUAGCAAAGUAGGAACCGGAUUCUUGGAAUGGAAGAUCUCAAUAGCGUUCAUAUCCACGAAGUUGUCAAGAUUUGGAAAGAGAACGAGCCCAUAGAUAAGUAAUGCAAGAAUAGCUUCACGAGUGUCUUGACAAGUAGUGUCGAGAUUAGCCUUCUCUAGUAGAUACUUUGAAGUGAACCCUCGGAUGUGAGAUUUGGUGACGAGAUAGUUGGAGACAUCGGAAGUCUUGAGAUAAAGAUCCUUAGCGAUAACCAAAGGAGUAAGAGAAGACCUGGGACCGGUGAAGGGCGUCCUCUCGGCUAUAGGUAAACCCACCAAAUCGGAAUAAGCCUCGAGAGUAGGAACCAACUGAAAGUCCGGGAAAGUGAAGCAACGGAAGUCCGGGUCAUAGAAUUGCACCAGAGUGUGUACCAACUUCUCUUCAACAUUGGUCCGGAGAAUGCUAAGCAAACCACCAUAUCGGAGUCGGAAACCGGUUGGACUUUUAACCUUGAGUGCCGACUCCCUUAAGCUAACCAAAUCCACUUCCUUGAAUUUGUAGGACUUAGUCUUCUUCAUACCUGCGAUUAUUUACAAAAUUUUAAUUUGUUUAAACCCUUCGACGAAUGCAUGGAAAAGUUUUAUGCAUGAAUGCAUGUAUGCAUGAUUGUUUUUUAGUUACAGAGAAAACAUGGUGGGUUGAGUUUCAAGGUCGAGGAGCCACGGGUGGGCACGGCGUCCGGUGAAACUAGGGCUUAGGAUAGUAGUAACCAAGGUUCUAAUGAAGUUCCCAAACUGCAACCUCUCCUACGCAUAUCAUGGUAGCACGGGACAACGUCCGUUCCAUGUUUAUUCGCAAGAAGGUCUAGUUUGAGUGUAGUAUCGCGUGACGACUAAAACUCGAGACAACACUCGGUUUAGCGACCGCACUACGCCCUAAAAAGGCCAAGGAUGGGUUUGGUAGCUAUGGUCCAUAGCAUCGUCGAACAAUUGAAAGCAAAGUGCCUAAGCAUGACAACACACGCCGAAAACAUCACCUCCAAAAUGCCUCAGCUAUGUGAGAUUGAUCGCAUAACCCAAUACACGAGGCAACCCCCGGAUUGAAUUGUCGAUUAUAUCUCUACCUAUUCUUAAGUUCACUCAGCCCGGGUGUAGGACUUUUGAUAUUCUCACCCCACACGUUACACGAAAAUAAGCAAAUAUUCACAUAUGUAAGCAAUAAAAUAAAGCGUAAACAUAAACUACGGAAAACUAGGUGUGACCCGCUUAAAAUAUCCCCAGUGAAGUCGCCAUUCUGUUAUAUGGAUUUUGGGGUGUCAAGUCAUUAAUUAGACUUGAACCUUUCAAUCUUUGAUAUUCUCUAUUUUUUCUUGGGAAGGGGAAAAUUGAGAAAACCCUUUGAAACUCUAAGUUCGGGGGUCGUUUUCGUUACGAGAAGGUGUUAAGCAUCCGGAACGACUAUAGUAGCUUGAAAUAAGAUAAAAAGGUAAACUCAAGCGUCCGUUGGUGGACUGGUGACUUGAAACAAAAUAAAAAAGUAAACUUAAGUGCCCGUUGGUGGAUUUAGUGACUUGAAACAAGGUAAAAAGUAAACUCAAGCGCCCGUUGGUGGACUUGGUGACUUGAAACAAGGUAAAAAGUAAACUCAAGCGCCCGUUGGUGGACUUGGUGACUUGAAACAAGAUAAAACGUAAACUCAAGCGCCCGUUGGUGGACUUGGUGACUUGAAACAAGAUAAAAGGUAAACUCAAGCGUCCGUUGGUGGACUAGGUGACUUGAAACAAGAUAAAAGUUAAACUCAAGCGCUCGUUGGUGGACUUGGUGACUUGAAACAAAAUAAAAAAUAAACUCAAGCGCCCGUUGGUGGACUUGGUGACUUGAAAUUGAAAUUGACUAGUGACAUUAGUGGCACAACUUUCGCUGGGGAUGACACUAUUGGAUUUUAAAUUGAAAAUUGAUUAGUGCCAUGGCUAGCACGACUUUACGCCGGGUAUGACACUUUUGGAAAUGAAAUUGAAAAUUGACUAGUGACAUGACUAGCCAGGCUUCACGCCGGGGAUGACACUUUUGAAAUUGAAAUUGAAAUUGAUUAGUGACAUGACUAGCACGGCUUCACGCCGGGGAUGACACUUUGAUGAUAAGAAGGUAAAUGGAAAACGCUUAUUUGUAGAAACUUGCAGCUUGACACAAUGGUAAGUUAAGACUGAACCGAAGAGACACGACCGAAUCGAGAUUCUGGACGACUAAUGCAAUUAUGUAUGAUUUGAUGUUGUGCAUAUGUUAUGUACGUAUAAACGUACGAAUAUGUGAAGAUAUUGAUGAAUGCAUGAUUGUAUGAAUGUAUGGAUGUGUGAAUGUAUGACUGUGUGAAUGUAUGUGACCUGUGACUCGAUGAACCGAGACAAGACAAGUAAGAUGGGAGGCGGACUGUAACAACCCGAUUUUUAGCUAGAUUUAAUUUAAUUACUUUUAAUUGUCUUUGUGUGUGAUUAAUUGUGCUUGUGUGUAUUUAAUUGUCGUCGGGUGCAUUUACGUGGAUUACCGUAUUAGAAGGGUAUUUUAGUCAUUUGACGGGUAAGGGUAAAAUGGUAAUUUUGGUGAGAAUCAUUUUAAUAUUUAGUGAGAACCCUUAUUUUACUAAGUUACUAGUGUAGUGAUUAGUUUUUACCGUUAGUGACCGUUCGUUAUAUUUUACCGUUGUUAGUAAUUACCGUUGAGUGUAUAUAAACUUUUUGGAAUUAUGUUAGAAUGAGUUAAGCCCAUUAGAAUUUGGAAUUGAGCCCAUUAAGGGAGAUAACAUUAGGGUUGUCAUAGGAAAAUAUCUUUCAUUCACUUCACAAAACAUUUUCCUAGAGAGAGAGGGAGGUAGAGAGAGAAAGAGGUGAAGAGAAGAACAAGAGUGUUGAAGGGAAAGCUUGGGGAAUCAAUUUGGGUGACCUAGGAGCUGAAUUGAAGCAAGGGUUAGAGAUAAUCAACUUCAAAGGUAAGGGGGUUAGUUAUCAUCAUAAUCAUGUACAAUCUUUGCAUUUUCUCAUGUUGUAUGAAAAUGUGUUGGUGAACAAUUGUUGUUAAAUUCGUGCUCUUGCUGUGAUGCUAUUUUCUUGUGCUUGAAUUGAUGAUUAUGGUAUGUUUAUAGGUGAAAUUACAUGUUUCAAAGUAUGUAUAAAUGUUAAGUUAUGAAAUUAUGCUUAAUUGAUGAAAUUUGAUAUGUUUUGAUUGAAAAGAGAUGUGAUUCAUAUUCCAUUAAUGUGGUUAUUGUUAACUGAUGCUAUUGUAAGUGAAUUAUGAUUUGGGUAUACUUAAUUGUGGAUUGAUGAUGAGAAAUAAAUUGUUGUUGGUGGUUUUGUGAAAUUGGUGAAGUUGAGUUAAGUGUUCAUGNGGUACCGAGACCUNGAANUUGGUAUUCACUUNNNNNNNNNNNNNNNNNNNNNNNNNNNNNNNNNNNNNNNNNNNNNNNNNNNNNNNNNNNNNNNNNNNNNNNNNNNNNNNNNNNNNNNNNNNNNNNNNNNNUGGGCCAGAAGGAUCGCUUCAGGAAGCAUAAGUUCAGAAAGCAUGCCAGAAGCUUCUCAAGGAAGCGAAAUUGCCAGUUCCAGCAUCCCCUGUUUCGCGUUCUUGCAUCUUUUUCACCUAUGUCUAUUUCGAAUUGGCCUUUGGUUUAAACAUGAAAGUUUUAGAUAAUUAUGUUAGCUUUCUAAUGGCUUUGGUUUGACGUCCAAAUGAUAUUAAGAACUUGAGUUAUGAUCAAAUUACUACACAUGGGUCAUGUGAAUUUUUGUGAAAACUUAUCAUAACUUUUUCUUUGAGCCGUGGAACUUUUCCAAACUUGAAUUUGGGUUUAAUGAGGUACUUAGAGUGAAUAAUUGAGUAUGCAUGUAUAUUUUUGAGGUAUCAUGACUAUCGUGAGAAACGUAUGCUAAUUGCUUGGAAUAUAAGAAUUCUUGAAUUGGUAAAAUCAAACGUGAUGAGUGAUGUUUGUUGAUUAUUGAAAAUCAUGUAAUUGAUGUUGGAUGACAUUGUUGAUUAUUGGUAAAUAUGUUGAUGUGUGAUGAUGAAUACUAUGAUUUAUUUGUGUGGGCAUGUUUUCUUGAUAAUGCAAUGUUGUGGAGAUAAUCAAUAUAAUUGGGUGUUGUCCUAUAUAUUGAGUUGAGAUUGUGAAUUGUUGUCGCAUUAUCGAGUCCUUAUACAUGUCCAUGCAUCAUAGUCGUUGUUUCUGUAAAAGAGUUGAACUCUUUUACUUCGAGAUUAUUGUAAGGCAGGUGUGAGCCCUUACAUUCGAUGUGCAAGUGGCAUCGAAAGGUGACGACCUUGUUGAGAUUUGGUACCACAUGCAUUUAUGUGUCCAUAAGUGCAUAUCAUAGCAUGAGUCCUAUGUGAAUUGUGUGAUUGGUGAUGAUUUGAGAUGAAUGAAUGUUGAUAAUGAUUGUCUAUGAUUGAUGUUGUGAAUGAAUAUUUAUGAUUGGAUAAUCAUUCAUGUGAUUGAUAUAUGUGGAUACGAGCUAUCAAGUUGUGGUAUAAGUAUUUAUGCAUGACUAAUAUUAUUCAAGUACAUGAUAUUAUUUGAUUUGAUUAUUAUCUGGAUUAUGAUAAUGUAAUGCUUACCCCCAGUGGUUUUAACCGCCUACUUGCCUGUAUGGGUGAGUAGACGUUGUGCAGGAGUAGUCUUGGUGAGUCUUUGCGUGGGAUAUCGGGAGCUUCCUCCGAUAUCGGUGUUGUGUCGGCUCUGAUCUAGGCUUGUCGUGUCGGUCUAGAUUAGGUUGUUAUAUUUUUCCUUUGAAUUAUUAUUUUGUUGAUGACUACCCGUAUGUUUGGGUUUUGAGAUUUAUCUUUGGGAUAUGAUUUAUUUGCUCAUGGCAUGUAUAUAUUUGAUCACUCUGAUUUGUAUUCCGCUGUAACUGUUGAGGUUUACAUACAUGUCUAUCGGUUUUUGAAUUUUGAAUAAGACGUAAUCUCUAUUUCUUGAAUAAAUGUAUUAUUCGCAUGUUUAAUUGCUUUAAUAGAAAUAGGAGCGUUACACGGACUGACAUCACAGUACAAACACUCGGCAAACUUCCUUGGAGAUGAUACUAUUGUGGACUAGUCGAGCCGUUGACGGUGUAAGAACCUGGCACAAGGUAGCAACUGAUGCCUCCUGGGGAUAAAGCCCAUUGUUGACCAAAAGUCUGGAAGAAGUCGCCAUUUGUAAGACGACGCAGGGUGUUCUUCCCCUGGCAUGCUUCAACAGCCAUGUUUUCUUUCUUUUUUGAAAUCCCUAACUUUUGCCUGGAUCGCCCUUUCGGGUUUUCAAUCCACCGGGAAAUAUAUUCCUUUUUUGUGCCCCUAAUUUUUGCCUGGACCGCCCUUUCGGGUUUUUAGUCCACCGGGACGCUCUCUAUUGCCUAAGCUGCCUUUUCAGGUUUUCAACUUAGCGAGCCUUGAUUUUUUGUAUUUUUUUUCUUUUGUAUUUUUGGACUGUGACAGCAUCUUGCUCAAGGCAGAGUUCCUUUCCAUAAUGCUUAGCCCUGUUUCUAUUCCGGAGUGUAACUGUUCUCGAGGCGAAUGUUGAUGUACGCUUCACCUACUCAUGAGUUCAAAGAGAGUGUGUUUGUUGUUCACACUUUUCAAAAGAUGUAAAAAAAAGUUUUGUAUUUUGAAAAUUUUUGCUUUAAGUAUUGUCAUAAAAAAUAGAAGAAAUUUAUGCAAAUAGAAUAAAUGAGAGUUCCAAAUAAAUGGACACAGGCUCAAAUUUUAUUAAUUGAGCGGUGGCCUGCCAAGGGCAUGGCUCCACGGAUUUUUUUUGAAAAUUUUGGAAAAUGGUAAAUAUAGUGGGAAGGGUACAUUGAACACAACAACCGAUAUUCUCCCUACCGAGUUUGAAUGCCCCUGUUCUGGGUCUUUGAUUUGUAGAUGCUUGGAGUCGGAAGUCCUUUGAUAGUUGGAUGCCCUAAGUGGAUGGUGCCUGACUGAUGCAGUUACUUUGUCUUUUGAUCCUUAACUUUUGCAUAGAUCGCCCUUUCGGGUUUUCAAUCUAUCAGGAUAGUCAUUUUUGUUCAUGUCUCUAAUUUUUGCCUGGACCGCCCUUUUUGGGUUUUCAGUCCACCGAGACGCUCAUUUUUGCCUAAGCCGCCUUUUCAGGUCUACGACUUAUCGAGCUUUCAUUUUUUGACAAAGUAUUUCUUGACUGCAUUGGCAUUCAUAGGAGGUGUGAGUUUGUCACCAUUUGUAGGCACAAGAGUCAGUGCACAUGGGCCUUCCUAGUUAGGCAUCCACUUGCCCCUGGAGUGUGGUUAGAAAGAUAGUAUCUUUUUGGGCACAAAGUCUCCUUCUUGAAAUUCAUGAGGACGAACCUUCUUGUUGGAAGUUUGUUUCAACCUCUUUUGACAUGGUUGUACAAGGGUGUCAUGUAUUUUAAGUCCAAUCAAGCUUGGGCUUUGGUAUAACUUCUAUUGUCGGGACUUCGACUUCCACGGGAAGCACAACCUUCAUAUUGUAUGCUGAGGGAUGGAGGGGGGGUUUGCCCCUGUUGAAAUGUGCAUUGAAGUACUACACUCAUGAAGUGCGGAUGGUAGCAUCUUGUGCCAGUCUUUGCAAAUGAAAGCCAUCUUUUGGACAAUCUUCUUUGAUAUUUCGUUUGCAGCUUUGACUGCUAAGAUUCCCCAGUAUGUGAGAGAUCUCAUCGGGAGUCCCUUCAUUUUCCUCCUCUUCAUCUUCAGACAUAGAGAACUCAAAGUUGGAAGAGAGUACAUGGUUAUUGUGUUCAACGGGUUUAUUAUUGCAUGAUUUGGUUAUUGAUUUUGACGAGUAAAUGAAAGUUAAGAUUAUGCACAUAUUUGAAAAUGAUUAUUAUUAUUUUUUUGGUUUUUUGUAUUUACCAUUUUUCUAGAAAGAGCACAAAAUAAAAAGCAAAGUCGGGAUCGAAGCGACUUUUUAUUAAUGAUGGAAGAUACACGAAGCAAAAAGUCCUAAAUGAGUUCACUUUCGUCUCGGGAGGAUAGUAGAAAUAAACAUCAGCAAAAGGCCCAAUUGCAGCUAAAAUAUUUCAUGUGUCAACCUUAGAUACCAAGAUGAUCCAUUCUGAUUUGCUCGAGCGUUGUAGAUGCGAGUAGAUGAUGAGUCAUUUAUUGCUUACUUUUAUAUGCUUUUUAGUUUAGUUUUAUUUAGAUUUGAUUUUAUUUUAUGUUAGUAUUAUUUCCUUUUUAGGAUAGUUUACUUUAAAUUGCAUUUUAUUUUAUUUCAGGAAUGAAUAUUGGAUGGAUUGAGUCUUGGAGAAAAAGAAAGGGACUUGGAGCCGAUUGGAUGCAAAAAUAUGAAGAUUGAGAGACAAAAAUAUGUCUCCCCCAUGCCAGAAGCUUGGGACGGCCCGUGCUAACCUUGGCACGGCCGUGCCACCCUCCAGUGUCACUUUUGCUGCUUUUGCUUAGAUUUUAAGCUACUCUAUUUUUAGCCCGAAUGUAAUAGCUUAGAUUUUAAGUCGAACAAAUGCUAUAAAUAGAGUUGCCAUCCAUCACAAAUAUUCAUCUUUACUUGGAAUUCAAUAAGUGACAAUUGCUUUUCUAAUUAAAGUUCUUUUCCUUUCCUUUAUUUUCUUGUCAUUUACUUUUAUGCUUUCUCUCUGCUCCCCCAUGUCUACGAUGAACAUGAGUGAGUAGAAUUCUCCUUGUCUUGGGAUUGUUGGAUAAGUCUAAAUGACAUAGUCCUAAUCAAACCAAGCUCUAAGCCUUAAUCUUAUGUAACCCUAAUUUCUUAUCUGAAUUCGCCGCUUUAACAUGGAUCAACCAUUAUCAAACUGUGGAAACGAAAGUGGAGGGUUUGAUAAUUGUUUAUCCAUUAUUCCAAAUAUCAAUUCAUAAAACGAAAGUGGAGCUUUGAUAUUUGAACAAGUGAAUUCAGACAAGGAUUGCAAAGUCAGCGAAAUAGGCUUUGCAAUCUUUGAGACAUAUAGUUUCGAUCUUCAAGGGAACUAAUAACAAUCAAGUCAGCGAAAUAGGCUUGGUUGUUAGAGGAACCAAAAUCUAAUAGUAAUCAAGUCAGCGAAAUAGGCUUGGUUGCUAGAGGAACAUAAGAGAAACUGUCUUGAGAAAUUAGGUCUAACAUAACAUUAUAAGCUUAUAGUUUUGGUUUGAGAAGGACUUGUUAUUUAGAUGAAACCAACGAUCCCAAGGCCCUUUUUAUUAUAUUAAUUUCCAACCGUUUGAAAACCCCUAACUUACAAUUCUCUUCUCUUCUAAUCAUCUCUAAAGGUUAAUUGAAUUAAACUACUCCCUGUCGGAAUGAUAUUCUUCUAAUACUACUUCGGUAAGACCGUGCACUUGCGGUUUUAUCUCAUCAAGUUUUUGGCGCUGUUGCCGGGGAGUAAACUAAUUUGAUUAACUCUUUGUUUGUGAUUAGAACUCUCUUCUCUUCCUCUUUUCUUCUACUUCUUUCUUUUGUAUUACCACUAACUUCUUGGGUUCUCGGUUUCUUAUGCGAAGAAGUAAAAGUCUCGGAGAAUUUAUUCCUGAGAUCGAAAGGUUUUUGCAUAAGAAAAAGAGGGAGGCACAAAAUAAUACUGCUAUGGCUGAACGCACUCUCAAAGAGUAUGCUACUCCUUCAACGGAAGAGCCACAAGCUAUUAUCGUGUACCCAACAGUUGCGGGUAAUAACUUCGAAAUCAAGCCUGCACUACUCAAUUUGGUGCAGCAAAAUCAGUUUUCUGGAUCACCCACUGAGGAUCCACAUCUCCAUAUUUCUUCCUUCCUUAGACUCAGUGGCACCAUAAAAGAGAACCAAGAAGCCGUAAGACUUCAUCUCUUUCCCUUUUCCUUAAGGGAUAGAGCUAGCGCUUGGUUCCAUUCCCUAGAAGUCGGUUCCAUCACUUCAUGGGACGAUAAGAGGCGAGCAUUCCUUGCCCGAUUUUUCCCCCCAUCUAAAACCGCUAAACUUAGAGAUCAAAUUACUCGUUUCAAUCAAAAAGAUGGGGAAUCUCUCUAUGAGGCGUGGGAGCGUUUCAAGGAAAUGCUUAGACUUUGUCCCCACCACGGCCUAGAGAAGUGGCUUAUAGUCCACACGUUUUAUAAUGGCUUGUCAUAUACCACUAAGAUGUCUGUUGAUGCAGCUGCAGGUGGAGCUCUAAUGAACAAAAACUAUACGGAGGCUUAUGCUUUGAUUGAGGACAUGGCUCAAAAUCACUACCAAUGGACCAACGAGAGAGCCGUCACCACUCCUACUCCCUCUAAGAAAGAGGCAGGUAUAUACAAAGUCUCUGAAUAUAAUCACCUUGCUGCUAAGGUUGAGGCAUUAACCCAAAAAUUUGAAAAACUUAACGUUAAUGUUGUCACACCUUCUUCUGCAUCCCCUCCUUGUGAAGUCUGUGGUAUAUCCGGUCAUAUAGGUGUUGAUUGUCAGUUAAGUAGUGCUGCCAAUAUUGAGCAACUGAAUUACGCUCAAUACAACCAAGGAAUGAGGCCAAAUCAAAAAUUUUACAAAAAUCCUCAAGGUUCCUAUGGACAAGUAGCACCACCUGGCUAUACAAACAACCAGAGAGUGGCUCAGAAAUCAAGUUUGGAGAUUUUAUUGGAAAAUUGCAUUGCUAAUCAAAAUAAAAAUCUUCAAGAAUUGAAAAACCAAACAGGAUUUCUGAACGACUCUCUCUCCAAACUCAAUACCAAGGUUGAUUCUAUCGCCACACACACAAAAAUGCUUGAGACCCAAAUCACCCAAGUGGCCACCUCUUCUCAAACACCAGGAGUCUUUCCUGGUCAACCUGAAACAAACCCCAAAGCCCAUGUCAACGCUAUUUUUCUUGGGGGUAGUAAGCUAGAAGAGACCGUUACUAAAGCCAAAAGUGUCAAGAGGGAGAGUGUUAGGUGUCUAGGUAAGAAAGGUGUGAUAAAAAGUGAAAAAUCGCUUGACAAGAACAAAGCCCUUACACCAUUAAGGCUUACUAAGCUCAACUUCGAGGCUCAAUUCACUAAAUUCUUAAACAUAAUUCAAAAGAUUUGCAUUAAGAUCCCCUAUGCUGAAGCUUUGUCUCGUAUGCCCCUAUACGCCAAGUUUUUAAAAGAAAUUUUUUCAAAGAAAAAGGCUAUAGAUCAUAAUGAAACAAUAGCUUUGACAAGGGAAAAUAAUGCAAUCAUCAAGAAGCCACCUACAAAGCUUAGAGAUCUAGGAAGUUUUGCCAUCCCUUGUAUGAUAGGGAAUGAAACCUUAAACCGAGCCUUAUGCGAUUUAGGAGCAAGUGUUAGUCUGACGCCCUUACCCCUCUUUACAAGGCUAGGGUUGGGCGAGUUAAAGCCUACCGAAACAACAUUGAAGUUAGCCGAUCGUUCUGAUAUCCAACCUGUCGGAUAUGUCGAGGACAUCCCCGUUAAAAUAGAAGGGAUAGACAUCCCAACUGAUUUCAUGGUGCUUGACAUAGAUGAGGACAAUGCGUGCUCUAUAAUCUUAGGACGACCCUUUCUCGCCACUGCGGGUGUUAUAGUAGAUGUUCAAAAUGGUAGGAUUGUUUUUCAAGUGAGUGAUGAGUUGAUAGGAUUUGAGUUGGAGAAUUAUAUGAAAGGUCCCGCCCUCUAUUCUUGUAAUGUGAUUAAAGGUCAUGAUGUGCAAGAACGCUCAUUAGCGCAAUCUACACAAUAUGACCUCUUUGAUCCUUUCUAAUGGACACUUUCCUAUAACGUCAAGCUAAUGACUAUAAAGAAGCGCUUCGUGGGAGGCAACCCACGCAUUUAACUGCUUUUGUUUUGUUUUGUUGUUUUGUUUUUAAUUGUUUUAUAGGUAAUUGUCCGAGUAUGAUUCGAGAAAAGGGAAAAUUUUGAAGCCCCGAUAUCCAGAACCUUGGCACGGCCCGUGCUCACACUGGCACGGCCGUGCCAGACCUCACCUUCCAAAAACCAUCCAAAAACUCCAGAAUGUUGGCACGGCCCGUGCUAAGGUUGGCACGGCCGUGCCCGACUACAGGUAAGGAUAUACCUCACCUUUCAUCUUCUUCUUCCUUCAUUCUCCACCACAAACAUUCAAACUUCUCUCAAAAACCUCCAUAACCAUAGAAAUUUCACAGCUCCAUAUCUCCCUCAAAACUUCACCAAUUAACAAAAUUUCUUCACCCAAUCAACCACAAUCCACAUUCCAAUCAUAACCCUUCACUCAAAAACAACUUUCCUCCAUCCCUACCAAAAAUCAUCAAAUUCGUAGCCCCCAUUCACCUACCCAAAAUUCUUCACCAAUUCACCCAACCCAACUCCUAACACUCACUCAAACACCAACCCUUCACCCAACCAACCUUUUCCACCAAAACCACUUCCCAAAACCCAACCUUCACCCAAAACACAAAAGGUCAACCAAGGUUACGGAUAAUGGCAUCUAGGAAAGGUGGAGCAAGCUCUUCCGGAGGACCACAAUCAAAGAAGAAAGCGCAAGCCAAGAAUCAUGGCAUAGUCUUCAAGGACACCAAGCAAAGGGACAGGUAUAAAAUUCUUAUCUCUAAACCUUUGCACCCUUGUCGUUAUCCUGAUCCUUAUACUUUGAGCGUGCUAGGACUAAGGGAUAAUGUGUUUAGCUUACUAGGAAAUUUAGGAUGGGUUAAUAUGCUUAGACCUAUGAAAGGUUUUGAAAAUUUCACUUAUGAAUUCUUAAGUUCUAUUGAAUUUACGAAGGAUAAAGUGAACUUUGAUAACCCCGACCAUAGAGUCUCCUUCCGACUUUUGAAUGUGGAUUACGAGAUGUCUCUUGAAAUUUUUUGUUUAGAAAUGGACUUCGCAAAUGCGGGGUUCAUCCAUGACUCUUGGAAUCCAAAUCUUAAGUCGGAAGACUAUAACCCCGCUCUCUUUUGGAAACGCAUUACCGGGUUAAGGCAUUAUAAUCCUCACAACAAUAAGGCUAGUAACAUUCACAACCCAGUGCUUAGAUACCUCCAGAGAGUCAUGGCUUGUACCAUUUGGGGUAGAAAAGAGGUAGGAACAACUAGGACGGAUGAACUUUUUAUGCUUUGGGCAAUGCUUAGUAACAAUCCCGUUAAUACUUGUUUCAACCUACUUGAUUACCUUUCCUCCAUAGGUGCUAAACCGGAUAAUAGAGCUGAGAUAGUAGUCGGUGGUAUCAUUACCUUCAUAGCUAGGAAGUUUGGAGUGGGUGAGGAAGAUGGGAUAAAUCCAAUUGAGGGUAACAAUAGGCUUAAUAUUGAAACUUUUGUUGCUAUGAAUUUCAUUAAGAUUCACCCACCCAUAACUUAUGCACUUCAGCUUCGCAUACCUCUUUUGUUUCUCCUUCCUAACCCAUCUCGGACUAACCCCGAGGUGGAGGAGAAUUUGUUGUAUGUUGGUGAUGGAUUACAGGUACAUGAAGAGCAUAAUCAAGGUGACGAAGACGGUGCACACAUGCACCAUGAAGAGGAACCCCAUGACCAUAACGACGACAAUGAAAGAUGGGCAUGGAUGCAAAUCGAGGUACAAAGGAUAAGCACUGAGCAACAAAGGCAAGGUGUUGAAUUAUCCGGGCUAAGAAAUGAUGUCCUAAGGGGCAACCGCAUAUCCGAAGAAAAUAACCAAAUGCUUCGGAACAUGAUGCAACACUUCAACCUCCAAGGUCCUCCCUAUGGACCUCAAUAAAAAUGUGAGCUUUCCUCUUCCUCUUUUUCACCUUAUCUCUUCAAUUUCUAUCUCAUUCUCCUCCCUCCUCUUUUUCCUCUAUCUUGAAUCAUUGAGGACAAUGCUUCCUCAAUGACAUCGGGAGAUAGAAGGGAUGGAAAGAGUAGUAUGAAAAGAGUAUCGUUCCGCAAGUGCAUGGUCUUACCGAAGUAGUAUGAAAAGAGUAUCGUUCUGACAGGGAGUAGUUUAAUUUAAUUAACCUUUGAAAAUGAUUAGAGGAGAAAAGAAUUGCAAGUUGGGGUUUUCAAACGGUUGAAAAUUAAUAUAAUAAAAAGAGCCUUGGGAUCGUUGGUUUCAUCUAAAUAACAAGUCCUUCUCAAAUCAAAACCAUAAGCUUAUAAUGUUAUGUUAGACCUAAUUUCUUAAGACAGUUUCUCUUAUGUUCCUCUAGCAACCAAGCCUAUUUCGCUGACUUGAUUACUAUUAGAUUUUGGUUCCUCUAACAACCAAGCCUAUUUCGCUGACUUGAUUGUUAUUAGUUCCCUUGAAGAUCGAAACUAUAUGUCUCAAAGAUUGCAAAGCCUAUUUCGCUGACUUUGCAAUCCUUGUCUGAAUUCACUUGUUCGAAUAUCAAAACUCCACUUUCGUUUUAUGAAUUGAUAUUUGGAAUAAUGGAUAAACAAUUAUCAAACCCUCCACUUUCGUUUCCACAGUUUGAUAAUGGUUGAUCCAUGAUAAAACGGUGAAUUUAGAUAAGAAAUUAGGGUUACAUAAGAUUAAGGCUUAGAGCUUGGUUUGAUUAGGAUCAUGUCAUUUAGACUUAUCCAACAAUCCCAAGACAAGGAGAAGUCUACUCACUCAUGUUCAUCGUAGACAUGGGUAAGAAGAGAGAAAGCAUAGAGGUAAAUGACAAGAAAAUAAAGGAAAAGAAAAGAACUUUAAUUAGAAAAGCAAUUGUCACUUAUUGAAUUCCAAGUAAAGAUGAAUAUUUGUGAUGGAUGGCUACUCUAUUUAUAGCAUUUGUUCGACUUAAAAUCUAAGCUAUUACAUUCAGGCUAAAAAUAGAGUAGCUUAAAAUCUAUGCAAAAGCAGCAAAAGUGACUCUGGAGGGUGGCACGGCCGUGCCAAGGUUAGCACGGGCCGUGCCAAGCUUCUGACAUGGGGGAGACAUAUUUUUGUCUCUCAAUCUUCAUAUUUUUGCAUCCAAUCGGCUCCAAGUCCCUUUCUUUUGCUCCAAGACUCAAUCCAUCCAAUAUUCAUUCCUGAAAUAAAAUAAAAUGCAAUUUAAAGUAAACUAUCCUAAAAAGGAAAUAAUACUAACAUAAAAUAAAAUAAAAUCUAAAUAAAACUAAACUAAAAAGCAUAUCAAAAUAGUCAAUAAAUGACUCAUCAAACUCCCCCACACUUGAAUCUUUGCUUGUCCUCAAGCAAAAGACAUAGACAUGGCAGCAACAAAAGGAUUAAUAUAUGUCACUUUAAAUAAAAACUUAUGUCUGCCUCGAGGUUUCAUUUCAACGUACACUAAUCACAACUUCAAGUAUUCUUUGUAAACUUAUUCAACCCAACAACAAAUCUUAAGUGAGUGUAUGUGUGUGUAGUCCAACCCUUUUCUUGCUCCUGUAUAAGAUAGAUAUUAUGAGGAACAGGUUCUAACCUUAACACUAAAAUGACCGAGAAAAGUCUUUCCUUCAUUUCAUAUAAGAGAAGUGGGAGAGUUAAGAUAGACUUGAUGAAUUUAUACAUUUGGGGGCUUGUAGAUGCCUAGGGGUUAUCAUUUCACAUUGGAAGUCCGUGAGGGGGUAUCCUUUCCUCCAAGUUUCUAUGAUCACCCUAAGUAGUGCUACAACUUGUUUACUUCACUUAGGAAGCUCCUCUUUUUAGAGGGUUUAAUUCAAGCACAAUUUAUUUGAGAAGUCAUCACCACAUUUAGGAAGUCAGUGAGAGGGUAUCCUUUCCUCCACAUGUGGUGAUAUCCUUCCGCCCCAUUUCGGUUUACACAUUUCAUCACUUUAGAAUUAUUCCCACACAAACUUAUACUACUUUUACUCUGAAGAUUUUUAAGGGUUCAGGUUACCAUUAAAGCUAGAACGUGUUCCUUAAAAUACCUACUCAUACACUUACUCAAGGAUUGCAACUAGGUGCUUUUCUCAUUGGAGAAUUAAUUUCACAAUAAAACUUGAUGUGGGUAUAGCAAGAAUACUUAUAACACAAGAAAUCACUUUCAUGUACAAGAAACGACCAUUGAAGAGACAACAAAAAAUUUAUGUCAUAAUAAAACAAUAAAAACGAGCUGCUUAUUUAUUCCUUUUACGAUAAAACACAAUAAAAGAAUAAAGUUCAAGGGAGUUUGGAAACACUACGACCAAAGACACUUUAUUAGGCUCCCCCCACACUUAGGAGAAGCAUUGUCCUCAAUGAUUCAAGAUAGAAGAAAAAGAAGAAGGAGGAGAACGAGAUAGAGAUUGAAGAGAUAAGGUGAAAACGAGGAAGAGGAAAGCUCACAUUUUUAUUGAGGUCCAUAGGGAGGACCUUGGAGGUUGAAGUGUUGCAUCAUGUUCCGAAGCAUUUGGUUAUUUUCUUCGGAUAUGCGGUUGCCCCUUAGGACAUCAUUUCUUAGCCCGGAUAAUUCAACACCUUGCCUUUGUUGCUCGGUGCUUAUCCUUUGUACCUCGGUUUGCAUCCAUGCCCAUCUUUCAUUGUCGGCGUUAUGGUCAUAGGGCUCCUCUUCAUGGUGCAUGUGUGCACCUUCUUCGUCACCUUGAUUAUGCUCUUCAUGUACCUGUAAUCCA